rnacentral:lncRNA from 1 species
UAAACAUGGACUUGCUAUUUUCUUUUCAGCCGCAGCGAUAUAAUUUCUUAAUGAGGGUAUUAGACUUGGUACUUGGCACGGGAGCCUUUAUCGCCUAUUAUGAAAUGCUCAUGAACGAUUAAAUUUAUGAAUUCUGAUGGGAGUCUGCAAUGCAGCCGAGAGUGACAAAGAAACUCGCUAUAACAUGUCCGGUCAAUUACAAGAAAUCGAUGGCACAACUUUUGUCUGCUUGAGAAGUGUUCCUUAAACUGGAAGCCUUAAAGACCUUAUUUUCUUCUGUUCUUUGUCCAGCUGUCAAGAUUCCAACUGCUAUAUUGGGAGCUGAGAUCGACCAUUCUUCCCCGCCGGAACAACUGAAAAAGUUCGGGGAGAUCAUGUCGGCUAAAACUGAAGUAAGCUUCUUAGGAUGCUUUGCGUUGGUUGCAAACCAAUUGUCAGAAAAUGCAAUCGUUUUUCCACGUUCCCGUCAUUUCGCUUGCAAAGCACCUUUCCCUUCCUGGUUAUUUAUACACAUCGCUAAUUCAAAGACCCCGGUUUUGCAGUUUGAGAGCUAUGUGAAGAUAUUCCCUGGUGUUAGUCAUGGAUGGAGUGUGAGGUACGACGACGACAAUGAAUUUGUGGUCAAGAGCGCCGAAGAGGCCCAAGAGGAUACUUUGAAUUGGUUCUUGAAGCAUGUCAAGUGAAGAGAACCGAAGGCAUUGAAGCACAACAUUCUGACGGAAGCAUUAGAUGACUGUAUUGUGUGAGACGAACAGUUUGAGGACUAGUCAUCUAUUGUAAUAUCUGGCGAGGGAACAAUGUACUGUGCUGUUGAUACUUAGAGAAAUAAAGACAUUGGUUUCAUCGCUUAAACUUGGAAGAUUGAAAACGAAAUAUAUCGCCUAGAGUUGUAUCGUGGCGAUUUUCGUGGCGAUUUGGGUGCAUUUUCUAUUCGAAUUGAUCAGAGGUGUUCACUGUCCAUUAAAUGAGGACCACACAAUGGAAUAUGAAACAGCAUAUUCGUUUCCCAAUCCCCUUUUUGAAGGAUAUGUUAUUGCAUGGUUACCACCAAGUCAUCAGCUAAAGUGGCUAAUAUCUAAGGUAAUCUCUAGACCACUUAAUUUUGAAUGCAUCCAUUAUAUUAUAAGUUAUAACUUGACAAAUAUGCGAGCAAUUAAGAUUUCAUUAAAAGAUACACGAUCUCAAAAUCGCAUGCCCCAAGAAAAAAAAAGAAAAAGAGAUGAAAGUAAGGAUAUGGAGAAAAAUAGUAUCCAAAAUAUAUGAGAAACCAACUAUUCGAACUUAUGACAAAAGCGAAGCGUUUGUUUUUGGUCAAGUCUAUAUGAUAGUAGGUCAAGAUUUUUCGAAACUAAAUCAGAUAGACAUGGAAAAAUUCGUCCUUCAUGUAUAUGGUAUAUAUUUUCGCAAUGUGCAUUUGUAUACUGACCAAAAAAUUUCAGCUUUUGGCCAGAUGGUGUUUUUUUGUGAGAGGACGCAUGUCUCUAUCGGGCUAAAUAUAUAAUGGUUUCGUCUUUGUUCGUUUCUCGUCUGUUUCUCACCGGCCCUCUUUCUUGUUUGACAUCAGCAGUGACGUUAAUACGAACCACGAGACCUUUGAUGACUAAUCCGAACCAUAAGAUUACACGGGCAAGGUGUCUGCAAGAGUAACUUUUUCAGACGCUGUGAUAUCGUAUCGCGGAUAAGCCAAUGGUUUUCAGAAGGCAAAGCAUGAUUCCACUUAGCGACCAGUGAAUCACCGUAUCAUCUCUCGUCUCUUGGCUCUGUUCUUACCUCGGAAAGAAUAAAGAAACGAAGAAAAAGACCAUGAACAGUAAACAAUGAAAGAAAAGAGAAGAAAAGAUCAAAAUAUCUAUAAAUUUUUUCAAAACGACGUCGUUUUGAGUGGAGUUGUGCAUGUCAAUAUCACUAACCCUUGCCAUGUAAGAUGACAAGCAUUGAUUUGCACCUCUACAUCAGAAUUUCCUGACAUAAAUUAGUUGGAUAGACAAUAUUACAAAAUUGUUGAAAGGUUCAUGACUACACUAGCCGAAUUGGACAGUUUAUUACAAAAUUGGAACUUGUACAAUUUGUUCACAGCUUUUGGGUAGUUUUUCCCAUCUUAAGUAAGUCGUAAUUCUAAUACAUGGAUGCAUAAGCUCUAUGCUUUUCUUAUUAUGAAGGUUGAAUUCCAUUUGAAGGUUAGGUAAUCGUUUUCUGGUUUAGGUAUUUAUUUUUUGUCCUAUGGUGAAUUAGGUGAUGCUUUUUUCGCCUCGUUGGGACAGAGAAAACUGCUUUGUCUCCAAUCCGGCAACUUCCAUAUUGCUGAACCUGGACAUGAAUUUAGUAUCUGUAACACAAUUGUUGAAAUAACCUAAUGAAAAAACCUAGAUUGGUCGAAAUUGGUUGAUUUGGGUCAUCUAGGAACCGGCUUGUUGAAUUAAAGUCUAUCAAACCCAUUGGUUGAUCCAGGCUGAAAUUGGAUUAGUCCACUUAUCAAUUGCGUUAACAUGUCAGGGCUCAACAGCCGGCAAUUAUCUGGAUUUGUAAGAAAGAUCCAUGCAUAGCCGGUGAUGGGCCUUUCUCUCUUGGAAAUUGGACAUUGCUGAAAAAUGCUUUCAAAGAUCUUUCUAUUGGAGUUUUCGAAGUUCUCCAUAUCCACAAAAAAUGUUUAACUUUUACUAGUUCAAAUUUUCAAAUGAGAUAAAAAAAAAAAUCAUUUUGAGAUGUUUGCUUUCAAAAGUUUCUAAAAUAAGUUUCUAAAGAAAAAUACUCGAGUUUAGCGCACAUCAGACGAUCCCUUCCUCGAGACUGUGGAGUGGUUCCUCGGGUCCAAGAUUCGGGGACAAGGGGGUAGGUUUCCCAAGUCCAAGCACUGGAUUCUACGCACUCCCGAGGCUUAGGUACGAGGCAUCGGAAGUAGGGGACCGAGGUCCCAUCUUGCUCUGUUGCGUAGUGGCGAGUGUUGGGGUCCCUGGUUCAACGCACCAACGUCCCGAGUCCAGCUACUGAAGUUUCAGGACUAAGCAUGGUGGUCUCGAAUUUGACCCACAAGCACCCAAGAUAUUGGGUCCUAGCACUUGGUUCCUAAGUUCGACCCUAAGGUCCUAUGUUUCGCAGCUGAAGUUCCCUAUCUCCAUAGAUGAGGCGAUCAGGUUCUCGAAUUUAGAUGAUAAGGUCUUGGUUUAGCCCUAGGUCAAGGGCAUGGGGAUUGGGGUCCCAAGUUCAAGGGUCGAUGACACGGGCGUGUAUUUUAAAUAUUAUAACUUUUUACUAAGUUCCUUGAUAUUUAACAUAUGCUAGGAUAGAAUUUCUUUGUAAUUUAAUUAGAAUUUCAUUAGUUCUUCAAAUAUGUUAAGUUUUCUUGUUAUAUAAAAUAUUGAGAGUUUUCCUCUGUUGCAUUCAUGUGUGUGCGCCAUCGUGUGUAGUGCGAGUGUUCACUUGUGUUGGCAAAUUGCCACUUGUGCAAUCACUCUUUUAUGUUACAUUAAACGGGUCCGGCAUUUGAGCACCGAUGUCUCAAAUUCAACCUUAAGAUGCAAAGCCCGGCCUGUCACACCCCAAAAACUACAAAGAAUGGGGAUGACACAAAGGUCCUUCUUUACAAAGGACGUAGCCUCAAACACAACCAGCAAACUGAUAUUAACUUAUAUAUAUAUCAGAUAAACCUUCAAAUUGGUUGCAACAUCAGAGUUCCUAUAUGUUGGAGAAAUCUUCCUGGAGUAUUUUGAAGCUGAUAAAACGUUUCCAUCAGUCUAGUCUGAAGAUUUGCAGACUCUACUAUUUAAAGUCUGAAGACCUCUGGACUGCCAGACUCAAGACUCAAAGUCUAUUCUCAUUGACAGUUUCUAAUCCGUCAAAGAAGGGCUAUCCAGGACUGGAUGUUUCGUUAAUGAUUUGACCUUAUCGAUUGGAGAAGAUCUCUUGGCUGUAUAUGACAUAACGGAAUCCUUUAUUGACUCAAAGAUUGAGGAUCUGAUGAUUGGCGGAGUAUACUUGGAAGGUUCUACUUAUGGAAACCGAGAUCCUGAUUGUAUGGGCGAGCAUGAUUAUGGGCUAUCGACAUAUUCCUUAAAUAGCUCGAAUGAUCUUCCUAAUUGAUUCUGUCCAACGGGAAGGUUGGAAGAAUUCCUUUGGUAAAUGCCAACGGGUAUGAUGGCAUAAAGGAGUAUAUAAGGAAGACGUUUAAGUUGUUCAAGUGUGUGUGUGAUAAAAGAAUUCCAAAGUCUGAAGCUCUUUGUUCUUAGUCAAUUCAUUUUCUGAGCGAAAUCUUGUACGCAAAAGAGAGUCCAUAUUCUUGAGAAACCUUGAGGAAGUGUGGUAGAGUAUUUACACUAUGGAAUCAAGGGAAAGCCUUGCUGUAACAACUCUUUUGUUUAUAGUGAAAUCCAGCCGGUGGGCUGUUAGUGCGGAAGAGUGGACGUAGGCUUGGAAUAAGAUGAACCACUAUAAUUUAUGUGUUCAUUUUCUCUUCCCUACUCUCUGCUUUACUUUGAUCAUAAUUUGCUUUGUUAACGAAAGGAGAACUUCCUUUCUAUUGUUUGCUUAGUAUUGCUCUCUUAUCUCGAGAAAAUAUUUUUUACACCUAUUCACCCCCCUCUAGGUGCUUAUACUAGAUAUCUCAAUUGGUAUCAGAGCCUGUGUACUCACUUUGUUUGAAGUGUUUUACUUUAGAGUUAAAGAUCCAUGGCUAGUAUGUUAGCUCCAGGGCUAGUAGAAGGGCAAAGCAAUACCAGACCACCUUACUUUGAUGGAAAUGAAUACAACAUAUGGAAAAACAAGAUGAAGGCGUUCCUAAGAUCAAAGGAUCCUCUGGAAUGGGACGUUAUAGACAACGGAAUCAUUCCUAAAGCUGCACCUGUCUUAGAGAGAGGAAAAGAAACUGUUGAGUCUAGUGAAAUGACUUAGGAAGAGAUAACCAAGAGACAAGCUCUUGAUGCAAAAGUAAUUUAUUCUUUAUAUUGUGCUUUGUCACCUACUGAAUAUAACAGAUUAUCUUCUUGUGUUACAGUGAAAGAAGUUUGGGAUAGAUUACAUAUUACCUAUGAAGGAACCGAUCGAGUGAAAGAAACCAGAAUCAACAUUCUCCUCGAUCAAUACGAAGCAUUCAAAAUGAAAUCAGGAGAAUCUAUAACUAACAUGUUUAGUCGUUUUACAGAAAUCGUGAAUGGUCUUGAAAAUCAAGGUUAACCAAUUUCUGAUCACAUGAAAGUAAACAAGCUACUGCGUGGACUCUCCAAGGAUUGAAAUCACAUAAAGACCUCAAUAAGGGAGACACAAAGAAUUAUGCCACUAUCUAUCGAUGAGUUGGUUGAGACUCUUCAGUCUUAUGAAGUGGAACGAAUCAAUGAAGACGAAGAUCCUAAAGGUAAGAAAUCCAUUGCAUUAAAAUCCAAUGAUGAUUCUGAUGUUACAGAUUCUAAAGACGAUAUGGAUGAUGAGGAGCUUGCUCUCAUGAUAAGAAGAUUCAGAAAGCUGAACAGAAAAGGAAGAAGAUUCAAUCCAAAGAAACAAAGUUUUCAAAAGCAACAAACUAAGUCCGUUGAGGAUGAUGAAUCAAAUAGAGAUGUAGUCUGCUUUGAAUGUAAGAAAAAUGGACACAUCAGACCCAACUGUCCUCUUCUGAGGAAGAAGAAAGGAAAAGUUGAAAAGUAUCAAAAUGCUCUUAAAGCAGAAACCUGGAGUGAUACAGAAUGUGAAGAAAGUGAUGAUGAUUAUGCCAAUUGUCUGGUGGCACAAUCGGAUUCAGAUUCAAACUCCGAGACAAACUCAGAUUCAGACAGUGAAGUUGAGGUGAGUAACUCUAAAAUCCCUAUUAAAGUUUCUAAAUACAUUGAUGAGUUGUGUUUUAGUCUUAAGACUUCUCUUAAAAGGAUUUCCGAACUUAAAAAGGAAAAUUCUGCAUUGAAACAACAGGAAAAUGUUUUGAAAGAAAAUGUGAAAUGUUUAGACAUGAAUGUUUCUACUCUUAAAGAAAGAGAAGACAACCUUUCGAAAGAAAAUGUAUUUUUAAAAAAUGACAUAUCAAAUAUUUUCAAAAGAUUUUCAAUAGGAUCUGAGAAACUUGAGAAAAUUCUUUCAGCAUAAAGACCUUAUUUCAAUAAAUCUGGUUUGGGAAUGACUGUGGAAACCAUUCCUUUAAUUGAUUUUCCUAAAGUGAAGGAAAGAAUUAAGCAAAGACCCAUAAGAGAUGCUUACAAAAAUCAUUUUAAAAAGGUCUUUGUAAAACCAAUAGGUCAGAAUGCUCUCAGAUGUUCAAAGUGCAAUAGUUCAAAUCAUUUUGAGAAAGAAUGUCCUAUGGUUUGGAAACCUGUUAAGAAAGUAUGGGCAAAAACCGCAUAUCAUACUAACACCAAUGGACCCAAGAAAAUAUAUGUACCAAAGAAAGUUUGAGUCUCUUUUUUAAAUGCAGGUCACUAUCAAGAAGAAGGUAAAAUGGUAUCUGGAUAGUGGAUGCUCAAGACAUAUGGCAGGAGAUUCAAAUUGUUUCAUAAAGCUCAUUCACGUAAAUGGUGGAAAAGUCUCAUUUGGAGGAAACAACAAAGGAAGAAUUGUGGGAUUCGGAACUGUAAAUAUUGGAAACCUCACAAUCAGCAAUGUUUCCUUAGUGGAAGGACUCAACUACAAUCUGCUCAGUAUCAGUCAGCUGUGCGAUACCGGUUUCAAAAUCAACUUUCAAGAAGGAAUAUGUUCAGGAACCAGUAAAGAUUCUACUAAGUCAUUCAUGGGUUGAAGACAUGGAAAUAUCUACCUCUUGGACGUGAAACCAAAUGAAUCGCAAUGUCUAAUCUCAAUUCAAGAUGAAGUGAACUUAUGGCACAUAAUACUUGGGCACAUCAAUAUGAAGCAAAUAGCCAAAAUUUCAGCAAAGAAGCUAGUUCGUGAUAUACCCAAUCUGUCAUACCAAAAGUCUGAUCUAUGUACACCAUGUGUAUUGGGAAAGCAUGUAAGAAAUUCCUUUAAACCAAUAAAUCAAGUUUCCACUAAUCGUGUACUGCAGCUUCUACAUAUGGAUCUCUUUGAAUCAACCAGAACUCAGAGCAUUAGAGGUAAUAAAUAUUGCCUAGUAAUUGUGGAUGACUACUCACGAUUUACUUGGGUAUAUUUCCUGACAAGUAAGUCUGAAACAUUUUCUUACUUUGAAAAGUUUGCUAAAAAGAUUCAAAAUGAAAAAUGGUAUGUUAUUUCAAGUAUAAGAACAUACCAUGGAGGUGAAUUUGAAAAUCAGGAUUUUACAAAAUUUUGUGAUAAAUUUGGUUUUCAACAUGUGUUCUCCUCUCCAUAUACUUCAGAGCAAAACGGAGUUGUGGAAAGAAAGAAUAGGUCGCUUCAAGAAAUGGCUAGAACUCUUUUAAUUGAAAGUAACAUCUCUUCACGUUUUUGGGCUGAAGCAGUUUCUAUAGUAUGUUAUAUUAUUAAUGGAGUUUUUCUAAGACCUAUUAUGGAAAAAACCCCCUAUGAGUUAUUCAAAGGAAAGAAGCCUAUUGUUUCAUAUUUUCAUGUGUUUGGAUGUAAAUGCUUUAUAUUGAAAAAUACAAAUGAUCGAGUUGGCAAGUUUGAAGAAAAAUCAGAUGAAGGCAUCUUCCUUGGAUAUUCUACCUCAAGCAAAGCCUACAGAGUCUACAACAAGAAGACUCAAUCUGUGGAGGAAUCAAUGAAUGUCAAAUUCCAAGAUUCUAUGCAAAAUGAAUCUAUUCAAACUCAUCUUGAAGAAUCUGAACUUGCUCCAGACUCUACAAAGUCUAAAUCUCAAGAAGCAGUUCAAACUUCGAAAGACUAGCAUCAAAUGAUUGUUGAAUAUUCAAAUGAAGAAAGUGAUCAUCAACCUGACAAAUCAACCGGUAACUGGAAGCAUAAGUCCAGUCAUCCCAAAGAUCUCAUUAUAGGCGACAUUAAUGAAGGAAUUCGCACAAGAUCCAAAAUGCGCGAAGAGUCUAGUGCUGUGGCUCUUAUUUCUGAAAUAGAACCCAAAAGCAUAGAAGAAGCUUUAUCUGAUGAAAGCUGGAUUGAAGCCAUGCAAGAAGAACUCAGGCAAUUCAGUAUUAAUGAUGUCUGGGAAUUGACUCCUAAACCGAAAGGUAAAUCUAUUAUUGGAGCUAAAUGGGUUUUCAGGAACAAGAUGGACGAGAAAGGAAAGGUCAUAAGAAACAAAGUAAGACUCGUGGCCAAGGGAUAUACGCAAGAAGAAGGGAUAGACUAUGAUGAGACUUACGCACCAAUAGCGAGGUUAGAAGCAAUUAGAUUAUUACUUGCUUUUGCUUGCUAUAAGAAUUUCAGGUUAUUCCAAAUGUACGUCAAAAGUGCUUUCCUGAAUGGAUUUAUCCAUGAGGAAGUCUAUGUGGAACAACCACCUGGGUUUGAAGACCCAAGGAAACCGGACUCAAUAUUCAGAUUGAAAAAGGCUUUAUAUGGUUUAAAGCAAGCACCUCGAGCUUGGUACGACAGGCUGAGUAAAUUUUUAAUUCAAAACGGUUUUGUCAAAGGUAAAGUAGACACUACUCUAUUUAUCAAAAGAGAAAGCAAAAGUUUUCUGCUUGUUCAAAUAUAUGUUGAUGAUAUUAUUUUUGGAUCCUCUUAUCAAAGUCUGUGCAAGAAAUUCUCUAAGUCUAUGCAGGAUGAAUUUGAAAUGAGCAUGAUGGGUGAACUAACCUUCUUUCUUGGACUUCAAGUGAAACAAUUGAAUAAAGGAACCUUUAUUCAUCAAGAAAAAUAUGCUAAUGAUCUUGUCAAAAAGUUUGGACUGGAAAAUUGCAAAAAGACUGAUAUACCAAUGUCAAGUUCUUUAAAGAUAGACAAAGAUGAAGGAGGAAAGAAGGUUGACCAGAAGCUAUACAGGAGUAUCAUUGGUUCACUUCUUUAUCUUACUAUUUCUAGACCUGACAUUUUGUUUAGUGUUUGCAUUUGUGCUAGAUUUCAAGCAGACCCUAAAGAAUCUCAUCUAAGUGCUGCAAAGCGUAUUAUCAAAUACAUUGCAUCAACUUCAAGCCUUGGUCUUUGGUAUCCUAAAAAGGGAGACUUUACUUUUCUUGGAUACUCAGAUGCAGAUCUAGCCGGAUGCAGAGUUGAUAGAAAGAGCACCUUGGGUAUCUGUCAACUACUUGGAAGCAGGACAGUGUCUUGGUUUUCAAGGAAGCAAAAUAUAGUGGCUCUUUCUACAGCAGAAGCAGAGUAUGUAGCUCUUGGAAGUUGUUGUUCACAAAUUCUGUGGAUAAAACAAUAGCUAAGAGACUUUGGAAUUGAAGAUUCAUGCACGGAGAUUAACUGUGACAACACCAGCGCAAUCAAUCUCACCAAUAAUCCAAUUCUUCACUCAAGAGCAAAGCAUAUAGAGAUUCGACAUCACUUCAUUAGAGAUCAUGUUCAGAAUGGAGAAGUUUCGAUUCAGUUUGUUGACUCAAAGAACCAACUGGCGGAUAUAUUUACAAAGCCGUUGGAGAAAAAUCAAUUUGAAAUCAUUCGUUCCAGACUCAACAUCUUGAGGUUUGAAGAAGUAAAAAUCUAGAGACUCUCAGACUCAGACAAUCAAGAUCGUUGAUUGUAAGUUAUUUUAUUCUCUCUCAGAUUAAAUCUUGAAAAGGUACGAUCAUAUGUCCAUAAUUGAUUUUUGCUACUUUCAAUUUCCGUGAUUAGUGCAAUCUUUCUUUUUCGAAAAUGGAGUUAAUUUUUAAAUGGCAGUUAUCUAUUUUUUUUGAAAAAGGCAGUUAUUUUUUAAAAGGGCAUCUUUUUACUUUUCAUUACGACGUUUUGUAUGCCUCUCUUCGACUGACCUAUAUACUGUUGGUUUCUCUUCGUUUAACUCCAAAAACUCUAAAAAGCAUCGAUCUUCCACUUCUGUCUUCUUCUCUUGUUUAAUCUUCGAAAAGUUGUCAUUUUUCUUGGGAAAGUCAAGUUUGGAAUCUUUCAAAGACUGUGAAAGAUGUCGUCUCAAAGGAAGUCUUCGAGGAUCGCGAACAGGGGACCGCAGCAAAUGCGUGAGGGGCCUACGCACUUUGAUCUCACCAAGGAAGAAGAGUCUCCUAGUCAGUAGCAGAGCCCACGACAUUCUCAGCAGCGUCCAUCUUCUCCAUCUAGACCACAGGAUGUUGCUCGUCGAGAAGAGGAAUAAAUAAUUGAAGAUGCAGAAUCGUAAGAACUUUUAAGCCCUCUUUUACCUACAAGCUUUAUCGUGCUUUGAAAAGGGGUGGAACUCCUUUGAAUUACAUUGAUGAAUUUCUGAAAGACAAAGGGUACAAAAAUGAAACCUUUUUUUUUUACGCACAAUGGAACGGUUGGGAAUUGCCCUUGCUGGGUUGGCAGAAGAGGCAAUGUCAAAUAUUCCAAUCGAUCCACGUGUUGGAGGGCUGAAUCAGCCAGAUGGGAAUGAUGAUGACAAGUUGUACAGUCAGUUUCAACCGAGAAUGGGUGUUGUGGCAAAAAUUUGGAGCAAAAGGACAGACUUGUUUCGAUCGGAGGAACACAAGCAUCUAUACUCUAAGUUGUUGAAGCGUGGGGUCAUAAACCCUAGAAGUGUGGAUUUUGAUUUCCUUGACGCUGUGAACGUUAAUUUGAGGGAAAAAUUCAGUCUUCUUCAACUUGAACAGUUCUGUUCUGAAUCUACAGAAGCCUAUGCUGAACUCACUACAUACUUCUAUUCAAAUCUCAGUUUCUUAGAUGCGAAUAGAUUCUCUUUUAGUGUCCGAGAUCAGGACUAUGUGGUGGAUGUAGAUAUGUUGGCUGAUGUGAUUGGGGUUGAGAGAGGGAGAUAUCAACCUAUAAAUGUCUCUAUUGCUCGUGCUACGUUAGAACUUGUUAAGGAUAGAAGGAUAGAGGGAAAGGUUUCCUACUCGAGGAUGAGUGCGUUCAACAUUCUACUUCACAAGAUUGUGAUCAAUUGCCUCAGACCAAAAUCUACUUCAAAGACUGAUGUUUCAAACUCAGAGGCAAAACUGAUGUAUGCCAUCAAUGCUGGGAAAAAGUUCUCUCUUCCUCAUACUAUUAUAUUACACAUGUAUAGAGCAGUGGUGAAAGACAAGGGUCAAAUUCCUUAUCCAGCUCUUGUGACAAAGUUAUUUAGACAUUUGAAUGUUUAGCCUCCCCGGAUUCUCUGUGUUCGAAUUUGUGAUCAAAUGGUAGUGGGACUGAAAAUGGUAUCUAAAAUGCAUCUGAAGGAACUCAACAAGGCGUUGGAGAAAUUUAAGGAGAAAACCCCUGUCAAAACUCAUCAAAUCUCUUUGGCAACAAAAAGAAAAGGGAAGGAGCCCAUGGUUGCUCCAUCCAAGAAAAGAAGAGCUCUCAUUGUUGAGGAUGAAGAAGAUGAGGAAGACAUCACCAUUACUGCAAUGGCAUUGAAGAACCUGAGUUGUUCUGUUCCAGAAUCAACGGAACGACAAGAGAAAGACACAGAACAGAGGACUGGAGAAAGAGAAGAUUUGGAAGCAGAAGAGAAAGAAACAUAGGAGAGAGAAGCUGAAGAAAGAGAUGCGGAGGAUGAAAGAAUUAAAGAAGAAGAAGAAGAAGAGGAAAAAGAAGAUCAAGAGGAAGGAGAGCAUGAGGAACACUCUUCUCCUCCUGAAGGCAUGGAAACAAGGGGAGAUUGUGAGAAAAGAGGAAUAUCCUCAUAUCCUACUACCAGUGAAGGAGUCAGCCGCUCUCCAGCAGAUCUAGAGGACAUCUAUGUCUCUCAAUUUCCUGAGGAGGGACAUGAUGUUUCAUUGCCCAAUCUGCGUGACUAUGCUGAUUUGCCAUCAUCUGCCUUUACUCCAUUUGAUCGUGCAGAAGCUAGUACGCAGACUGAUAAUUCAGCAGAUUUUCACAGAAUUCUUGAUGUUCUCUUAGAAAUGCGGGGUCGGAUAUAUGCUCUGGGAUGCGAAGUACAGAAUUUGCAGACUGCAAAUCAAGCUUCUUCAGUUUCUUUGGAUGAUCAGAUCCAAGCCCUUACUCUUCAGAUUCAAGCAAAUGCUAAGGGUGAAGAGGUGGCUCAACUGAAGGAAGAGUUGACAAAGCUGGAAGGCAUUGUCCAGUCAAUGGGAGAUUUUCAGCUUGUUCGUGUUCCCAAGCAUUCUUGAUUCCAUCUCAACCUUUUUUAUGAUGACAAAAAGGGGGAGAGAUGUGAUUUGAACUUUGAACCUUGAACUUUUUUGAACUUGAUCUUGAACUUUUGAUUUGUUUUGAUGUUUGACUUGACUUUUGUGUCUGGCUGUGGACUAGAUUUGGGAUUUUGGAUUGACUGCUUAUAUUAAGUACUAUUGAUAUCUUAUGGAUGGCUUUACUCAUAUGCAAGACUAACCUAUUUUCUGUGGUUACAGAUUUUAGUGUUAUCAAUAAACCAUUUAUCUUUAUGAGAUAUCCAUAUUUGCUUGAGUAAUAUUUUGCAGGUCAAAGUUAUCCAAACUGUAGGAAAGUUUUGUCACCAUAAAAAAGGGGGAGAUUGUUGGAGAAAUCUUCCUGGAGUAUUUUGAAGCUGACAAAAUGUUUCCAUCAGUCUAGUCUGAAGAUUUGUAGACUCUACUAUUUAAAGUCUGAAGACCUCCGGACUACCAGACACAAGACUCAAAGUCUAUUCUCAUUGACAGUUUCUAAUCCAUCGAAGAAGGGCUAUCCAAGACUGGAUGUUUCGUUAAGGAUUUGACCUUAUUGACUAGAGAAGAUUUCUUGGCUGGAUAUGACAUAACAGAAUCCUUUAUUGACUCAAAGAUUGAGGAUCCGAUGAUUGGCGGAGUAUACUUGGAAGGUUCUAUUUAUGGAAACUGAGAUCCUGAUUGUAUGGGCAAGCAGAAUUGAUGGGCUAUCGACAUGUUUCUUAAAUAGCUCGAAUGAUCUUCCUAAUUGAUUCUGUCCAACGGGAAGAUUGGAAGAAUUCCUUUGGUAAGUGCCAAUGGAUAUGAUGGCAUAAAGGAGUAUAUAAGGAAGACGUUCCAGUUGUUCAAGUAUGUGUGCGAUAGAAGAAUUCCAAAGUCUGAAGCUCUUUGUUCUUAGUCAAUUCAUUUUCUGAGCGAAAUCUUGUACGCAAAAGAGAGUCCAUAUUCUUAAGAAACCUUGAGGAAGUGUGGUAGAGUAUCUACACUGUGGAAUCAAGGGAAAGCCUUGCUGUAACAACUAUUUUGUUCAUAGUGAAAUCUAACCAGUGGGCUGUCAGUGCGAAAGAGUGGACGUAGGCUUGGAAUAAGCCGAACCACUAUAAUUUCUGUGUUCAUUUUCUCUUCCCUACUCUCUGUUUUACUUUGAUCAUAAUUCGCUUCGUUAACGAAAGGAGAACUUCCUUUCUAUUGUCUGCUUAGUAUUGCUCUCUUAUCUCGAGAAAAUAUUUUUACACCUAUUCAUUCUCCCUCUAGGUGCUUGUACUAGCUAUCUCACUAUAAUCCACCAAAAAGAGAAAAGAGAUAUACGUUUAAAACUUAGAUGAUCCAACCACUAGUAAGGAUCAUUUGCAUCACUUCCUUAAACUAUACCAAAAACAAAAUAGAACUCCCCAAAAGUUUCCCACGACAGUGAACUCGCUCUAUUUGCCGCUAGCUGAGGAACCUAAAAAGAUCAAAGGAGGAAUAGGAUGAGCAACCAUAGCUCAGUGAGUAGUACAUAUCUUCUAAACAGAUCGAACAAUCACUAUGCAUAUAUACAAAGCAAUACCAAACUUCAUAACGCCAGCUCAAUAUAUAAAAUACGUAUUGAAUCUUAUAAGAGUUAUUUCUUAUCAUCAAAUAUUUAUAGUAAUAUGGAAAACUCAUUUGAAUCACCAUCAAAAGUCAAGUAUCAAUGGUUGAAUCCAUUGAAUAAUCUCCAUCAAAAACACAUAUCAAUGGCCUAUCCAUUGAUUAAUCUUUUGCUCAAUAACUAACCAUGGUCACGACACAACGCCUUGUGACAAGGCAACCAAGAUUCUCCCUUUGGCAAGGUUUCCACCUACAAAGCCGGUGGCUGAGCCCAGAAGGAUAUCAUAAACCUGGUAUGUAUACCCCAAAUUGAGCAUAAAUAACCAUUCUCCAAUACCAGAAAUCCAAUCCAAAAAUCAAUAUCUUAAACCAAACAAAUAACAUUUUGCAACAUAGCCCAUCAUCCAUUUCAUACUCAUUUCUCAAAUCAUUAAAUCUUUCCAUAAAUCAGUUGCAAAGCAAUUUCAUAUAUGUUUCUUCACAAACCUUGUAUAACGUGCUUUUCAAAGAUUCACAAUCAACCAAAGGGUAGCAAUUGUUCGAUCUGGCUUUUAUGCAAUAAAAAUGCUCUUCUCAAUUCAAUACAUAUACAUAUACAUAUAUAUAUAUACUUCAAGACAUGAUUUUAUAAAACCAAAGAAAAUAUAGUACUACUCACCUUGUCGUCUAUGACCAAACGACAAAUGAUACUUGCAUCGUCGAACUCAAGGCCCUAUCAAAUAACCGAAGAAUAAUGUUAAAAUCUAAUAAAAUUUUAUCUCGACUACAAAAUGACUAAGUUACACCUUAACUCUAACAAAAGGACUUCUGCGUGCUAACAAGUUGCAUAACCAAAGCGAUUGUUCAAGCCAUUCGCAACAUGAAGUUUAAGCGCAAAACUUGAUCGAGCCUUAACUCUCUCUUCCAAACCCCGAUCCAAACGUACUUAUAGUCAAUAGAGAGCCCUUGACACAUAUUGCAAGAAUCUCAACUUCACCGUCCCAAAAUCAAGCCAAAAAAUGACAAAAUACGGGCCAAAGCUGCUGGACGCGUACUGUUCACUGCGCACGGAAAACUUUGAAAUUUUGUUUCGGACAAACCAUAAGCUCAAAUCAUGAUCCGUAAAAUCUCACGGCUCCACAACACCCUAAACUACCAUUUCUACAAAAAUAUGCGGCUCAACGACUCUAAAAUCAGAUUUCGCCGCUCAAUUUUCCAAAAAUUUCGAAUUUGAGUCCCAAAUUCAAAAAUUACUUCAAUUGGAUGAACGAGGGACUCGAUCUCUUACCGGAUGCUGCGUUAUGGAGUCGAGUCGGCUUGGUGAGGUAUCCGAGGCGUGCACAUGCCAAAACUCCUUUCCUUUCUUCCCCUUUCUCUUCUUCUUCUUCUUCUUCUUCUUCUUCUUCUUCUUCUUCUUCUUCUUCUUUUCUUUCUUUUCUUUUUGGUCGAGGAAACUCUCAGCUUCUAUUUAGCCGAGCCCUCUCCCAUCUCUUUUUUCUUUUUUCUUUUUUAUUGCGUUUUUAGCUUUUCGACUUCUUUUUCCGUUUCUUCUUUUGGGGCCUUUAAAACUUCUUUUUCUGUUUCUUCUUUUGGGGCCCACUAGCCUAAUGUUACAUGGCCCAUCAGGCAUCGGGUUUGAAGAGUAGGUUAUUAGGAUCUUGAGUUCUUUCCUUGAUAUCUUGAGUCCUGAAUAUGGGAAUGGUGUUGGUGGUGGUGGAAGUCAAAUCAGAUUCUAGAAAAUGUUGAGUCCUUUCAAGUGGCGGAAAUUUAUUUCCAAAAUCUGAGUGAAGAUUUCUAAUGGAUUAAAAAAAUUCUAUAUUAAAUCAUGUUUCUAAACAACGUCAAAAGGCAAAAGAUGAAGCAGGUAUUUUACCAGCUAAUUUCCGACAAGACAAACGGCUCAAACGUAAUUCAUUAUGCAGAAGCUCCCUGAGACAAAAGGAUCACUUGAUUUUUUAUGGUUCGUUCUCAAAGCAGAUAUGUUCCAGACUUUUUACAAAGAUCAAUUGAUCAAGCGUAUUGGGAAAGUGAGCUUCAAUGAGCUUUAGAGUUUUGACCAUUGAAAAGGGGAAUUUUUUUUUUUGGUAAGGUUGAAAAGGGGAAUUUUUCUAUAUCAAUCAUCUUGAAGUUGGCAUAGGGUGUUUCUAUCAGUUACUCAAAUCUCUUUUAGCUAUUGUUGAAGCAAGCGUCAUUUGACUUGAUUGGUCGAAUUAGGCGGAAUCCACACGUGUAAUCACCUCACCUUCGUGUUCUUUUGGACUUACCCAAUGAAGCACAUAUUUCUAUUUCUCCAGCAAUUAUCUAAUGCACAUGGUGUCACACCUUAAAACUACAAAGAAUGGGGAUGACACGGUCGUCCUUCUUUACAAAGGACGCAGCCUCAAACACAACCAACAGACUGAUAUUAACUUAUAUAUCUCAAACCAUAUAUUUAUCAGAUAAACCAACAAAUUGGUUGCAACAUCAGAGUCUCUAUAAUCCACCAAAAAGAGAAAAUAGAUAUACGUUUAAAACUCAGACGAUCCAACUACUAGUAAGUAUCAUUUGCACCACUUCCUUAAACCAUAUCAAAAACAAAAUAGAACUCCCCAAAAGUUUCCUACUGAUGGCACACUCGCUCUAUUCGCCGCUAACUGAGGAACCUGAAAAGAUUAAAGGAGGAGUGGAAUGAACAACAAUAGCUCAGUGAGUAGUACAUAUCUUCUAAGCAGAUUGAACUACCACUAUACAUGUAUACAAAGCAAUACCAAACUUCAUAACGCCAACUCAAUAUAUAAAAUACAUAUUGAAUCUUAUAUGAGUUAUUUCUUAUCAUCAAAGUUUUAUACUAAUAUGGAAAACUCAUUUAAAUCGCCAUCAAAAGUCAAGUAUCAAUGGUUGAAUCCAUUGAAUAAUCUCCAUCAAAAACACAUAUCAAUGGUCUAUCCAUUGAUCAAUCUUUUGCUCAAUAACUAACCAUGGUCACGACACAACGUCUUGUGACAAGGCGACCAAUAUUCUCCCAUUGGCAAGGUCUCCACCUACAAAACUGAUGGUUGGGCCUAGAAGGAUAUUCUAAACUUGGUAUGCAUACCCCAAAAACCCCUCACUGGGUUCACAAUUAUAUUGAGCAUAAAUAACCAUUCUCCAAUACUAGAAAUCAAAUCCAGAAAUCGAUAUCUUAAACCAAAUAAAUAACAUUUUGCAACAUAGCCCAUCAUCCAUUUCAUAUCCGUUUCUCAAAUCAUCAUAAACAUUUUCAUAAAUUAGUCACAAAGCAAUUUCAUAUAUGUUUCUCCAGAAACCUUGUAUAACAUGCUUUUCAAACAUUCACAAUCAACCAAAGAGUAGCAAUUGUUCGAUAUGGCUUUUUAUGUAAUAAAAAUGCUCUUCUUGAUUCAAUAUAUAUACAUACAUACUUCAAGACACGAUUUUAUAAUACCAAAGAAGAUAUAAUACCACUCACCUCGUCGUCUACGACCAAACGACAAACGAUACUUGUAUCGUCGAACUCAUGGCCCUAUCAAAUAACUGAAGAAUAAUGUUAAAAUAUAAUAAAAUUCUAUCUCGACUACAAAAUGACUAAAUUAUGCCUUAACUCUAACAAAAGGACUUCUACGCGCUAACAAAUCGCAUAACCAAAGCGAUUGUUCAAGCCAUUCGCAACACGGAGUUUAAGCACAAAACUUGAUCGCGCCUUAACUUUCUCCUUCGAAUCCUAAUCCGAACAUAUUUAUAGUGAAUAGAGAGCCCUUGACACAUAUUACAAGAAUCCCAACUUGACUGUCCCAAAAUCAAGCCGAAAAAUGACAAAAUAUGGGCCCGAAGCUGCUGGAUGCGUACUGUUCACUCGCGCGGGAAACUUUGAAAUUUUGUUUCGGACAAACCAUAAGCUCAAUCACGAUCCAUAAAAUCCCAUGGCUCCACAACACUCUAAACUUCAAUUCCUACAAAAAUACACGGCUUAGCGACUCCAAAAUUAGACUUCGCGCUCGAUUUUCCAAAAAUUGAAUUUGAGCCCUAAAUCCAAAAAUUACUUCAAUUGGACGAACGAGGGGCCUAAUCUCUUACCAGGUGCUGCGUUAUGGAGUCGAGUUGGCUUGGCGAGGCGUCUGAGGCGUGCACGUGCCAAAACCCCUUUCCUUCCUUCCCCUUUCUUUUCUUCUUCUUCUUCUUCUUCUUCUUCUUCUUCUUUUCUUUAUGGUCGAGGGCCCUCGAGGGCCCUCAGCUUCUAUUUAACCAAACCCUCUCCCCUCUCCUUUUUGCUUUAUCGGCUUUUUAGCUUCUUUUUCUAUUUCUUCUCUUGGGGCCCACUAACAUAAUAUUACACAUGGGAUGGGGGUACUAACACAUCUAAUAGGGAUGGGAUUAGUUGGGCACGCAAAAAGUCCUAGAAAUCCAUUGCUACAACAAAAGAAUUCGAGGAAUUUGAAACAAGUGACUUUUCCUUUGUCUAGCUUGAAGAGAGAUUCUUCUAUGCCUCAUGAAUGUGACAUUCCUAUUCAUCAAAAUCAAUCACCACAUGUUGAUUAUUGUAAAUUGCCUUAUUUUCUUUUAAAAUUAAAAAAAAAUUGCAUAGACAAUGACUAGAUUGAUUGGUCAGAUCAUCGUUAAAUUGCUUCCUCAAUAGGUGCAUUGAUUGUUGAUCCUAAACUAAACUUAAGAGCUUACACUUCUUUGUGCACACAAAGUUUCAAUCUCUUAUGAACUUGAUAAUAAUGGUCAUAGAACUAUAAAGUUUUUUUUUUAAUUGAGAGGUGUUGAAAAUAAUAGUCACCAACAACAGUAGGCACAUCAAAAGAAGUCUCUAUGGGAAGGUUACACCAUUGUUCCAAAUUCUAAUCUUGAUUAAUGAUGUGACAUCUUCAUUGGGUCUUGAAGUGUCUGUUUAAUUCUCUUUGCUCCAUAGCUAGCAUAUACUAAUUCAAUUUGGAUCAACCGGUUUUACGACUAGAGUGCAAAACGGAAAGAUGAAAUAUAGAUGCCCCUCGGAGAUACCCUAAUUAUAAAUUUCCAAUCAUAACAUUAGGCAAGAUAAAAAUUUGCCAAAUUGAUUGUGACAACCUCUAUAGGGAAUAGAUAAAAAUGCCCUAAUUGUGCACACGACAAAAUGAUUGCCCCCAUCACUAGACAUGGACGGCCCAAUGUUUUACAAUAUUUUACCAGCUAAUUUCCAGCAAGACAAACGGCUCAAACGUAAUUCAUUGUGCAGAAGCUCCCCGAGAUAAAGGGAUCACUUGAUUUUUUCUGGUCCGUUCUCAAAGCAGAUCUGUUCCAGACAAUCAAUUGAAUAUCCACGUAAUUAAGUGAAAUAGUGGCUUUUGUCUCAAUUUUACUGGUUUUCCUAAAUUAUCCAUAUAUGAAAUAUUAAAGAGUAAAAAAAAGAUAUAAAUUACAUUUUUGAUAAUAUCCCACCUUCAUUUGGUUCCUCCCGUAACUAUCCAUUUGCACCUACUCUUAUAUUGACUGACAAGAAAGUUAUGUUGUACCAAAAAGCACCAUCUCUUUAACCCACUGUCUGCACCUUUGACAGUCACAUGGAAUUCUCUUCUAUGAUCUCCGCUUCUUAUCAUCAUUCUCUUAUUAUUUUUAACGACGAAAUUCACUCUAUGACUGAAAUUUUAUCAACUUACAAAUAUUACUCAUGUAUAUUACAAAAUUCAAAUUAAAAUAAGCAUCACGAUUAUUAAGCCCGCGCACGCACGGUGCGUACAAACAAUCACCCAAUUCCAUGCACAUACAUAGCUCCUUUUUAAGCCAAAGAGAAGAGAGAAUCACUUGCAUCUUGAUUGAGUUGUUGUUACGAUACACGGACGCGUAAGCUCUAUGCUUUUCUCGUUAUGAAGGUUGAACUUCCUUAAAAGAUUACAUUAUCAUCUUCUGGUUUAGGUACUUAUUAUUGCCCUAUUGGUGAAUUAGCUGAUGCUUUUCUCCGCGUCGUCAGGAUAUAAUAUGCACAUAUUAACGUCAUGACAGGGACAACUGAUUUGUCUCCAAUCCGGCGACUUCCAUAUCGCUGAACUUGGACGUGAACUUUGGCACCCUUACAGUAGUUGUUGGAAUAGUCUAAUGACAAGAACCUGGAUUGGUCCGAAUUGAUUGAUUUGGCUUCUCUAGGAGCCAGCCCUUGAAUUAAAGUCUAUCAACCCCAGGCGUAGACUUAUAUUAGUCGAUCCAAGCUGAAAUUGAAGUGUCCCGUUCAUAGAUUGCAUUAGCAUGUCGGGACUCCAACAGCCGGCGAUUAGCUGGAUUCCUAAGAAAGAUCCAGCAGCAUAUUGUGACUGGUUGAUAAUGGCUCAAGGAAUUUCCAAACAAAAGCAAAGCAUAUGAUGGGCCAUUUGUCUCUUGGGGAUUGGACAUUGCUGAUUUUUUUUUUCUAAGAUCUUUAUGUUGGAGAUUUCGAAGUCGUUAAUUUUCAGAAUAUGUGUUUAGCAUUUCUUAAUUCAACUUUUCAAAUAAGCUAAAAGUCAUUUUGAGACCUUUGUAUUUCCAAACUAUUUUUUGAGAUCCAAGUUUAGCGCACAUCGAAUUAUCCAUAUCUAUAGACCUUGAUCCUUGUGCCAAGAACCAAGGAGAGUGGCGUAUUAGCUGUGGACUAGGAUCCUUAUGUGGAUGAUCCAGGGUCAAUUUACACAUCCAUGUAUUGGAAUCUCUAGGCUCCCGAGAUUAUAUAUGAGGCACUAAGUAGGACACCGAGGUCUCGUCUUGCCUUGUUGUCUAGUGGCGUGUGUUGGGGUCUCAGGUUCAAGGCACUGACGUUCUUAAUCCAAGAGGUCUUGAGACUAAGCAUUGAAGUCUCGAAUUUGAUCCAUAAGGGCGUGUUUGGUAACGUUUCUGUUGCCCGGAACAAUUUCUAAGCAUUUUAAGCUGUUUGGUAACUGUCCAAAAUUUCAAUUCUCAGAAUAGAAUUGCGUUUAGUAUAGUGCUCAAAAUUUCUACUCCAAAUCAUUUUCUUUUAAUUUUAAAUUUUUUUAAAUUUUUUUUCCUUUUUUCUUCUUUUCUUUUUUCCCUUUCUUUCUCAUAUUCUUCUUCUUCAAGUGGCCAAUUGUCAACAGGUUGGUCGGCGACUGGCUAGACGAGAGUUGGCAACCUCACCGGAGCGUUGCCAACCCUUGGCGAGGACGGCCAUUGUCGGCCGAGCCUCGCUGGCAGCUGGGCAAGGCUCGGCCGAGCCUCAGCGGGGCUGGGGGAGGCCUGCUUGGCCACCGACGAGGCUCGCCCAGCCCCUUCGAGCCUCAUCGAACUAGUUGCUGGUGAUUGGCGACGGUGGGCGGCGGAUGGCGAACGGCAACCACGACGGUGGCAGUAGAUGAAGAAGAAGAAAAGGGAAGAAGAACAAGAAAAAAGAAAAAAAAAAGAGAAAUUGAUUUUAGAAUUGUUCCCAAGAACAAUAAUCAACCUUUUUUAUUUUUAUUUUUAUUUAUUCUUGAUUCUGUUCCAAAUCUACUUUUGGGAACAAAAAAAUAGAAAUUUGUUUCCGAGAAUAAAAUUUUUACUAAACACGAUUCUAUUCCAAAAUUGCUCAUGGGAACAAAAGAAUAGAAAUUUUUACUAUUUGGCCAGUUAGGGUCUGUUUGGUAACCAUCCCAACAGUGCCAAAUUCUGAUUCUUUGUUCCCGGAAUCAGUUUCGGCCUAGAAUCGCGUUUGGUAAAUUUUUUGUUCCCGGGAACAGAUUGGGAAUAGAAUCAAGAAUAAAAAAAAAGUUUNNNNNNNNNNNNNNNNNNNNNNNNNNNNNNNNNNNNNNNNNNNNNNNNNNNNNNNNNNNNNNNNNNNNNNNNNNNNNNNNNNNNNNNNNNNNNNNNNNNNUCUUCAAGUGGCCAAUUGUCAACAGGUUGGUCGGUGACUGGCUAGACGAGAGUUGGCAACCUCACCGGAGCGUUGCCAACCCUUGGCGAGGACGGCCAUCGUUGGCCGAGCCUCGCUGGCAGCUGGGCAAGGCUCGGCCAAGCCUCAGCGGGGUUGGGGGAGGCCCGCUUGGCCACCGACGAGGCUCGCCUAGCCCUUUUGAGCCUCACUGAACUAGUUGCUAGUGAUUGGUGAUGGUGGGCGGCGGAUGGCGAACGGCAACCACGGCGGUGGCAGUAGAUGAAGAAGAAGAAAAGGGAAGAAGAACAAGAAAAUAAAAAGAGAAAUUGAUUUUAGAAUUGUUCCCAAGAACAAGAAUCAACCUUUUUUAUUUUUAUUUUUUUAUUCUUGAUUCUGUUCCAAAUCUACUUUCGGGAACAAAAACAUAGAAAUUUAUUUCUGAGAACAAAAUUUUUACUAAACACGAUUCUAUUCCAAAAUUGCUCAUGGGAACAAAAGAAUAUAAAUCGUUACCAAACGCGCCAUUAGCAAACAUGACCUAAGCAAGCACCCAAAGGUCAUGGGUCUGGGCAACUGGGACCUAAGUCCAACCACAAGGUUCUAUGUUUGGUAGCCAAAGUCUCAUCUCUUCAUGGAUUCAACGGUUUGAGUUUUGAGUUAAGAUGCUGAAGGCUUGGUUCAACCCUAGGUGCUAGGGACGGCGCUCAUUGUUCCCAAGUUGAUGACAUGGGAUGCAUGUUUUUAAAUAUUAUGAUUUUUAUUUAUUCUCUUGUCUUUCUUUAUUUUAGAAAUUAUUUUAGGAUACUGGAUGAUUUGUUUCAAUAGUUAUCAUUUACAUAUUUAAGAUAUCGUGGGAUAGAAUUUCUUAUUAGUUUACAUAUUUCCUAUUAUGAAAUUAGAAUUUCCUAAGUGUUUUAGAUAUAAAUAUGCAUUGUGUUUUUCUUGUAAUUUGGCUUAUUUAUUGAUGAAUAAAGGAAAAUUUUCAAAUGAGGGCAUAUGGUGCUCUCAUUUUCUCAAAUAAGUGCCCGAAGUAGCCGUUAUUUUAAAUAAGGGCUAGAAAAAAAAUGAAUUGACCAAAUUCUCUCGAAUAAGGACUUUUGGCUAGCCAUUGACUAUUCUGUCAUUGGAGAAAGGGUAUUUUAGUAAAAAAAAAAUUCUAAGUAUAUAUUUUUUAUUUUUCUCUCCUUGCCAUGCCUCAAGUGAGGGUUGCCUUUGCUGGCGUUGGGUGAGGGUGAAGGUUGCCCUUGUUAGCCCAAGUGAGGCGAUCCUUGCCCAAUGCUGGGGAGGAGGAGCCGUUGCUUGAGUCCAGCAACUUGAUGGAAAAUGGGGAAAAAAGAAAAAGAAAAUAACAAAAAAAAGAAAAAAAAAAAGGAAUUUUUGUAAAGAUGAAAAUGCCUUUCAAUCAGCAAGGUUAGCCUCUUCUUUGAGACCAAUAUGGCUACUUUAGGUAUUUAUAUGAAACAAUUUCACUUCAAGCUCUUAUUUGAGAAAAUUAUAGCACUUCAAGCCCUUAUUUAAAAUAAAGUCUACUUUAGGCCAUUAUAUGAGAGAAAAAAAAAAAGGAACACUUUAAGCCCUUAUUUGGAAUUUUCCCAUGAUUUAAUGGAAAAAUAGUGAGGUUUUCUUUGUAGCAUUUCGUGUAUGUGCAUCAAAAUGCAUAUCAUGAGUGUUUACUUGUGUUAAGGAAUUCCCAUAUAUGCUAUCACUCAUUUAGGUUAUGUUGGGCUAUCAUAGGUGUUGUCUAGGCAUCACUUGUCUAGCAGUAGUGCUUGUUCAACACUUGUUGCUCCAUAGCUUGCAUAUAAACUAAUUCGAUUUGGAUCACCAUUGGGUUUUUAUUUCUUAACCAUACCAAUUUGCUUCUUAAAUUCACCAAUUUAUCGAAAGGUUGAAAAAAUAAAAUCCAUGCCUAAUAAUUAGGGAAAAUAAAAGUUUAAUAUCAUCUCUGGUAGGAGCUGGAUUUAUAGUGCCACUAGUGAGCAAUUUCACCCAAAAGAACAUGUUUAAUUGAGAAACCUUGAACCGACACAAACAAGGAAAGGAUUACCCACAAAGGGCAAGACAGAAAAGGUGAAAUAUAGACUCCACCUUAAAAAAAAAAACCCAAUUAUAGAUUCACCAUCAUAGCAUCCAGCCAAAAGAUGGAAAAAGGAAGGAACCCCAUCGAUUGCGACAAUCACCAUCGGAAAAUAGAUAAGCUUCGCACAACUUGUGCACUCCACAAAAUGAUUGCGCCCAUCACAAGUUAUGGAGCGCCCCAAUGUCAACAUCUUUAGGGCUAGAACGGCUUAAUUGAUAAGAAAUCAUCUUGAUUAUCAUCAAGACAACGUUGGCCUAAGAAAUCGAGUCUGAUUGGGAUUUGGAAAAAAAAUGCAUAUAUUCGCGUCGAUAAUGAAAUUUUACGCGCGUGGGUAACAUUUUCAAUGGUGGGAUUGGUGUAGGUCUGCGCAUCCAGAAAUGAUUGUCACGACAAUGAGUCUUUAUCUUGAUAUUGAUUAAGUUUAACGAGUUUUUAUAAAGAGUCAAAUGAUUUUUUUUUUUUUUAAAGCAAAGGAUUAAUCAUUAUUUGAUGCCUAGGGGGCCGGCAAACACAGAGAACGAGGAGACAUCGCCAUAGAAAAAGUUGGUACCUUGAUUUGAUGGAUUUUUUCAUACUACGCACAUCAACCGUUCACGUACUCCAAAGGCGGGGCCUCUCAUGCUCCGAGUCAUGAAAUACCCACAAGAAUUUAUUUGCUUUGUCACUAUAUUAUUUAUCACCUAUGUAUGUAUUUAUGCAUCAACAUAGGUGAAAAUCAUCAUAUAUAAACCGAACCACUAUGAGUCAAAUCAUUUCAUACAUAUAUAUAUAUAUAUAUAUAUAUAUAUAUAUAUAUAUAAAGUAUGUUUGUUUUGUGAUUUUUGUUCUAUUAAGUUAAUGUAACAUGUACAAAAGGCGAUCGUCCGACGAGUUUGAGAUUUUACAAAACACAAGCUAAAUUGUUCCCUCUAGUCAAUUUCAAAAGAGUUGGAAUAUUGCAAACUUAACGAAUUUUUAUUUUCUUCGAAAAACAGAACACCAUUUGUCCGCACAACAAGAGGAGACAUUACCAAAUUUUGUGGACAUGCUUUGUCCGAGACCCAGCCCAUGUCCAGCAGCCCAGAUUGUGAUGGGUCCAGCCUGGACAGGCCCAUGGGGUGGCUGAUGGGCCUUGUCAAACACUAUUCAGUUGCUCUCCUAAGCUACAUAAACGAUCAACGAUAAAAUUCAAUGUCACAGGACAAGUUUCUGUCGGGCACAAUGCAAAUAAUGAGGUCCUAGAAUUAUAUAAUUGCUUUUGAGAUGCGAAGUUCUCAUUUAUCUAAAUCAAUCGUAGCAUGGCAAGUGUUACCAACUUCCUUAUCUUCUUUCAAGAUUAAUAAUAGUAUUUUUCCACAUGAUGAUCCACUUGGAUGGAUUGAAAUGUCAUACUUUGAGAGCACAUAAUUUUUUUUUUAGUAGAUAGAUAUUUUAUUCCUUCUCCUGUUUGCAUUCUAAUAUAAAAAUAUGAAUGCCGCUACCCAAUAUGCUUUCCACUUAAUGAUUGGAGCGUUGAUCUUGUUGUAAAUGCUAGAUCAUCAACUAGGCCGUCUUAAUAAAGAUUAGUUGAAGUUUGCUAUACUUAAGCUCUUUGUGAGGUGCCCAAAACGAGCUCCAAAUUGCAUAAAGACCUUCGACACGAGCCUGUAAUUUGAAGAGACAGUCGACGUGACCCCAAGUUUUGUAUAUUUGUAAUCUUAACGCAUGUAUGUUGUGGACCUACUUGGUCACAUCCCAUAUGCUUGGGUUCUGUCAUGUUCAAUUGGAUGUCACCAUAUCCAAGUUUGUCAUAGCUGUCGACCUAGACUAGGUAAGAACCACAUCAAUUUGCUUCAGUCGGUCGUGAGUAAAUUAUGAGCUGGGAUAAAUGCAAGUGAAUCUCAAGUGAUGCACUGGAGAAAAUAUUUGGAAAUGCCAUCGAACCUCACCUUUUGUCACUUCUAAGUAGUUAUUGAAUGAUCGGGAACGCCUUCUGUCACACCCGAAAACUACAAGAAUGGGGGAUGACACAGCCGUCUAUCCACACGAGGGACGUAGCCUCAAACACAACCAAUAAACUGAUAUCAACUUUUAUAUAUAUAUAUAUAUCUCAAUUAUAUAUAUACAUAUCAGCUAAAUCAAUAAAUUGGUUGCAACAUCAAAGUUUCUAUAAUCCACCAGAAAAGAUAUACGUUUAAAACUUAGACAAUACAACCACUAGCAAGGAUCAUAUGCACCACUUCCUUAAACCAUACCAAAGAAAAUAAAAAUAGGACUCCCUAAAAGUUUCCUACCAACGGCCCUCUCGCUCUAUACGCUGCUAACCGAGGAACUUGAAAAGAUUAAAGGAGGAGUGGGAUGAGCAACAACAGCUCAGUGAGUAGUACAUAUCUUCUAAGCAGAUCGAACAACCAUUAUGCAUGUAUAUAAAGUAAUACCAAACUUCAUAACGCCAACUCAAUAGAUAAAAUACAUAGCAAAUCUUAUAAGAGUUAUUUCUUAUCAUCAAAGCUUAAUAAUAAUAAUAUGGAAAACUCAUUUAAAUUGCCAUCAAAAGUCAAGUAUCAAUAGUUGAAUCCAUUGAAUAAUCUCCAUCAAAAACACAUAUCAAUGGUCUAUCCAUUCAUUCAUCUCAUAUCAAACACACAUCGAUGGUCUAUCCAUCGACCAAUCUUUUGUUCAAUAACUAACUAUGGUCAUGACACAACGCCUUGUGACAAGGCGAUCAAGAUUUCCCCUUGGCAAGGUCUCUACCUACAAAGUCGAUGGCUGGGCCCAGAAAGAUAUCCCAAACCUAGUAUGCAUACCCCAAAAAGCCCUCACUGGGUUCACAGUCAUAUUGAGCAUAAAUAACCAUUCUCCAAUACUAGAAAAUCAAAUUCAGAAAUCAAUAUCUUAAACCAAAAAAAUAACAUUUGCGGCAUAGCCCAUCAUCCAUUUUAUAUCCAUUUCUCAAAUCAUCAUAAACCUUUUCAUGAAUCAAUCACAAAGCAAUUUCAUAGAUAUUUCUCCACUUACUUUGUAUAAUACACUUUUCAAACAUCCACAAUCAACCAAUGAGUAGCAAUUGCUUGACCUGGCUUUUAUGCAAUAAAAAUGCUCUUCUCAAUUCAAUAUAUAUACAUAUAUAUAUAUAUAUAUAUAUAUAUAUAUAUAUAUAUAUAUAUAUAUAUACUUCAAGACAUGAUUUUUACAAAACCAAAGAAGAUAUAGUACCACUCACCUCGUCCUCUACGACCAAAUGACGAACGAUACUUGUGUCGUCGAACUCAAUGCCCUAUCAAAUAACCAAGAAAAAUGUUAAAAUCUAAUAAAACUCUAUCUCAACUACGAAACAACUAAAUUACGCCUUAACUCUAACAAAAGGAUUUCUACUCGCUAACAAUUUGCAUAACCAAAACUAUUGUUCAAGCCAUUUGUGACGCGGAGUUUAAGCGCAAAACUUAGUUACGCAAUAACUUUCUCCUUCGAACCCCGUUCCGAACGUACUUAUGGUCAAUAAAGAGCCCUUGACACAUAUUACAAGAAUCCCAACUUGACUGUCCCAAAAUCAAGCAAAAAGAUGACAAAAUACGGGCCCAAAGCUGCUGGACGCGUACUAUUCAUUGCGCGCGAGAAACUUUGAAAUUUUGUUUUGGAAAAACUUAUAAGCUCAAAUCAUGAUCCAUAAAAUCCCACGGCUCCACAACCCCUAAACUACCAUUCCUACAAAAAUACACGGCCUAACGACUCCAAAAUCGGACUUCGCUGCUCAAUUUUCCAAAAAUUCCGAAUUUGAACCCUAAACCUAUAAACUGCUUCAAUUGGACGAAUGGGGGGCCUGAUCUCUUACCGGGUGCUGCAUUAUGGGGUCGAGUUGGCUUGGUGAGACAUCUGAGGCGUGCAUGUGCCAAAACUCCUUUCCUUUCUCCUUCUUCUUCUUUUUUUUUUUUUUUUUGGUUGAGGACCCCUCAGCUUCUAUUUAACCGAGCCCUAACUUUUCAACUUCUUUUUAUAUUUUUUCUUUUGGGGCCCAGUAGCCAAAUAUUACAUUCUACCUUCCUAAAAAAAAAAUUCGUCCUCGAAAUUUACAUGUACUUCAAUCAUAAAACAAGUGAGGGUAUUUGUGUCAUGCCUCCUCCUCAAGUUCCCAAGUAGCCUCUCUCUCGGUGUGGUUUUGCCAUUGUAUUUUCACAUAAGGAAUAGUUCGUCGCCGCAACACCUGAUCCUUCUUAUCGACAAUGCAAAUAUGUUGUUCCUCAUAUGUCAAGUUCUCCCGUAAUCUCAAUGGAGUAAAGUCUAGCACAUGUUCAGGAUUUGCACAUAUUUCCGCAACAAAGAGACAUGGAACACAUUAUGGACACCUGAUAGUGCCGGUGGCAAAGCUAAUUUAUAAGCGACUUCACCAAUUUUCUCUAAGAUCAAGAAUGGUCCCAUGUACCUUGGACUUAACUUCCCACGUGUGUCAAAUCUCGUUACACCCUUCGUAGGAGAAACUUUUAAGAACAUGUGAUCCCCCACAUUAAAUUCUAACUUGUGUCUUUUUAGAUCAGCAUAACUUUUCUGACGAUUUUGAGCCGUUCUGAGACGUUCUCGAACCAACCUAACUUUCUCUUCUGACUGCUGGAUGAACUCAGAGCCAGUUAGUCUUUUCUCACCAACGUCAUCCCAAAAAAUAGGACUUCUACAUUUUCGCGCCAUCUUAAUACUGGAGUGAUAAUUGUUGUUAUAAGAAAAUUCUGCCAAAUAUAGAUGUUCAUCCCAAGAACCGCCAAAGUCAAUGAUGCAUGAUCUCAACAUAUCCUCUAAUGUCUGGAUCGUUCUCUCUGAUUGUUCAUCUGUUUGUGGAUGAAAAGCUAUACUUAAGUUGAGUUUAGUGCCCAAUGUUGCUUGCAAACUCUUCCAAAAGUUAGACACGAACCUAGGAUCCCUAUCAGAAACAAUGCUUACAGGAACUCCAUGAAGCUUCACUAUCUCAUUAACAUAUCGCCUUGCCAUAUCUUCCAUUGAAAGACCAAAUUGAUAUGACAAAAAGUGAGUGGACUUAGUUAAUCAAUCACUGUUCACCCAAAUAGAAUUCCUACCACUUGGCGUCCUCGGUAGACCAACUACAAAGUCCAUGGCAAUAUGCUCCCACUUCCAUUUAGGUAUCUUUAGAGGUUGCAACUAUCCACCUGGUUUAUGAUGUUCAAUUUUCACUGGCUGAUAAACUAAACAUUGAUCAACAAAUUUUAUAAUAUCAUUUUUCAUGUUGAUUCACCAAAAGUUUUUUCUCAAGUCCCUAUACAUUUUAGUGCUUCCCGGAUGAAUUGAAAAUCUAGUACUGUGAGCUUCUUGCAGGAUCUCCUUUUUUUAGCUUUGAGUCCUCAGGAACACAUAGUCGACCACGAAACAUCAAGGAUCCAUCUAUAUGUAAACUAAAUCUGCUUGUCUUCUAGCUUCCACAGCUUCUCUAAUUUUUUGUAAUUGUGGAUCUUCAUUCUGUUUAGCCUUAAUUAUGUUAAUCAACAUAGGUUGUACUUGAAGAUUAGCUAAUUGAGCACCAAGCUGCUGCACCAACACCUCUAAGUCUAACUUCCUCAUAUCUUCAAGAAUGGGUUUUUAAGAAGUGAGCAAAGCUACCAUAUUUCCAAAGGAUUUACGACUUAAAGCAUCCGCUACCACAUUAGCCUUACCCGGAUGGUAAUUAAUGGAUAAGUCAUUAUCCUUCAAAAGUUCUAACCAUCUUCUUUGCCUCAUGUUCAGUUCUUUCUGAGUAAAAAUAUACUUUAGACUCUUGUGAUCGGUAAAGGCUUCACAUUUUUCACCAUACAAAUGAUGCCACCAUAUCUUCAAGGCAAACACAACCGCCGCUAACUCCAAAUCAUGAGUGGGGUAGUUCUUCUCAUGUAAUUUCAAUUGUCUAGAAGCAUAGGUAACAACUUUGCUAUUUUGCAUAUGAACACAACCCAAACCUUCUUUGGAUGCGUCGCAAUAGAUUAUGAAGCCACCACUUCCAAAAGGUAGAGUUAGAAUAGGAGCCGACACCAGCCGUCUCUUCAACUCUUGAAAACUGCGUUCACAUUGGUCUGACCAUUCAAAUUUAACUUUCUUCUGGGUUAGACGGGUAAGUGGACUAGCAAUCUUUGAGAAUCCCUCUACAAAUCGCUUAUAGUAGCCGGCUAGCCCAAGAAAACUUCUCACUUCUAUAACAUUAGUUGGACGAUUCCACUUAACAACUACUUCAACCUUCUUUGGAUCCACUAAUAUGCCAUCCUUCGAGAUCACGUGACCCAAGAAUUCUAUAUGAUCAAGCCAAAAAUCACACUUACUAAAUUUGGCAUACAACUUCUUUUCAUGUAAAGUCUGCAAGACAAACCUCAAGUAUUGUUCGUGUUCCUCUAAACUCUUUGAAUACACUAGGAUGUCAUCAAUGAACACCAUAAUAAAUUUGUCUAGAUAUUCGUUGAACACUUUGUUCAUCAAGUCCAUGAAGGCAACAAGCGCAUUUGUUAAUCCAAAAGGCAUGACGAGAAAUUCAUAAUGGCCAUACCUUGUUCUAAAAGCAGUUUUAGGCACAUCAUCUAUUUUUAUCUUCAACUGAUGAUACCCAUAACGAAGGUCAAUCUUGGAAAAUACCUGAGCUCCCUGAAGUUGAUCAAAUAAAUCCUCAAUCUGAGGCAAAGGAUAUUUGUUUUUAACCGUUACCUUGUUAAGCUCUUGAUAAUCUAUGCAAAGCUACAUACUACCAUCCUUCUUUUUCACAAAUAGAACAGGAGCUCCCUAAGGCGAAACACUAGGUCUGAUGAAACCCUUAUCUAAAAGCUCUUCAGUUGCGUUUUCAAUUCUUUCAAUUUAGUGGGUGCCAUCCGAUAUGGUGCCUUAGAGAUUGGUGCUGUACCGGGCAUCAAUUCAAUACAAAACUCAAUUUCUCUAUCAAGAGGCAAUCCUGGUAAAUCCUCAGGAAACACACUUGGAAACUCUCUAACGACAGGAACAUCUUCCAACUUUACUACAACCUUAUGUGUGUCUUUUACACAAGCUAAAUAACCACAACAACCCUUUCUCAAAAGUUUCCUUGCUUGCAAAGCCGAGAUCAACCUUGGAGAAGUGUUUUGACAACUUCUCGAAAAAGAGAAUUCGGGUUGAUUCGAAAAUCUAAAUAUCACUUUUUUUGAAAAACAGUCAACAAUAGCACGAUAGGUAGAUCACCAAUCCAUUCCUAUAAUAACAUCGAAAUCUCGAAUAUUUAACUUUACUAGAUCCAGAGGCAUUUCAACAUUAUUAAUCUGAAUCACACAUCUCUUGAACACAUGAUGAACAACUAAGAAAUCGCCAGUAGGAGUAUCAACACACAAUUCACAUUCAAGAGGGUCAGGCAACACAUCAAGCUUCUUUGCAAAUUCAGUUGAAAUGAAGAAGUGCGUAGCACCAGGAUCAAAUAAGGCAUAAGCACAUUGUGAGGCAAUAGAAAUAUUACCUGCAACAAUUGCGUUAGAUGCUGCCGCAUCCUCCUUCGUCAUCGCAAAAAAUUUCUCACUUGUACUUUGUCUUUGUUGGUUCUCUUGGGGCCUACCAACGAAAGGGGUAUUCCUCCGCAUGGAACACUGGUGUGCUAGGUGGCCUUGUUGCCCACAUAGAUUACAUGAUCUAUUGCCAAUAGGAUGAUUCCUUUGUGUAGAACAAUCUCGCAGCAUGUGUCCCGCUUUCCCACAUGAGAAGCAUACUUCAGUUUUCCAAUGACACUCACUGCGAUGAUAACUUCCACAUGUAUUACAAGGGCCUUGGUUACUCGAAUUUCUGAACUAUCCUGGCUGGCUGAAACCUCUUCGCCUUCCACUACCAUCAGUAUGGCUACCUUGUACAUUUGUGGGCUUAAACCUUUUGGGUUGAGGCGCUCCUUGUGUGCCAUGCUUCAGAAUGCUUUGUUCCACCUUGAUUGUCCGUUCUAGCACAUCCUUAUAAGUUUUUAAUAUGAAAGGUGCAAGUGCAGAAUUAAUUUCAGGUCGGAGCCCUCCUAGGAAAUGGUCGUUCUUAUCUUCCUCAUUUGCUACCAAGUGCUAUGUAAAUGUACUCAACUGAUUAAAGCACCGUGGAGUCACCCUCAGAUAUAUGUACAAAGUCACCCUUCAUCUUUGCUUGGAAUGACUUUGGGAAGAAUUGAGCAUUGAACGCCUUUUUAAAGUCCUCCCAGGAUAUAAUAACAUCCCUACCUCCAAGACUUGGCUUCAUUCCAUCCCACCAAAACUCUACUUCACCUUCCAGGUAUUGGGUGGCAAAUUGAACUUUUCGAUCCACGGGAACCUCUUCAGCUUCAAAGAUCCCAUCAAUCUUUUUAAUCCAACGCUUAGUCGCAAGAGGAUCAGCUUUCCCAUCAAAAGUGGGUGGUUUUGCCUUUCUUAAAUGGCAAAAGUGCCUGAGCCAGUCACUCCAUCUCCAGUUAAUUCUUUUGCUUGUUGAUACCAAUGGAUCAUUGCUUGUUCAAAUUCAGUUGAACGGGUUGGCUCUUGAUCCUCUUCUUUGACUUCGCGCAAGUUAGGACUCCUAUUAUAGUGGUCCUCAAGUCUCCUUCUCAAAAACGCACCUCGAGAAGCUUGAGGCAUGUCUCUAGCCUCAGGGGUAGCGACUCGUUUGCCUUUGCGGCUCCUACGAAGCGAGGCAAGUGUCUCAAAGUUGGUACUCAUGAUCACCUGAAUCUAAUAAUGAAACUACACCUUAGAAUCUAGAAGACUAACGCAAAAAUAAAAUCUAUCACACAACCUCACAACAUCCCAUAACUACAUCCAAAAAGAUCAAAACUUAGGCUCUGAUACAAAAAAUGUCACACCCCAAAACUACAAAGAAUGAGGAUGACACGGCCAUCAUUCCACACGAAUGACGCGACCUCAAACACAACCAACAAACUGAUAUCAACUUAUAUAUAUCUCAAACCAUAUAUAUACAUAUAAGAUAAACCAACAAAUUGGUUGCAAUAUCAGAGUUUCUAUAAUCCACUAAAAAAAAUAUACGUUUAAAACUCAGACAAUACAACCACUAGUAAGGAUCAUGUGCACCACUUCUUUAAACCAUACCAAAGAAAAUAAAAAUAGAACUCCUCAAAAGUUUCCCACCAACGGCCCUCUCGCUCUAUUCGCCGCUAACCGAGGAACUUGAAAAGAUUAAAGGAGGAGUGGGAUGAGCAACAACAGCUCAGUGAGUAGUACAUCUCUUCUAAGCAGAUUGAACAACCAUUAUGCAUGUAUAUAAAGUAAUACCAAACUUCAUAAUGCCAACUCAAUAUAUAAAAUACAUAUCGAAUCUUAUAAGAGUUAUUUCUUAUCAUCAAAGCUUAAUAAUAAUAUGGAAAACUCAUUUAAAUCGCCAUCAAAAGUCAAGUAUCAAUGGUCAAAUCCAUUGAAUAAUCUCCAUCAAAAACACAUAUCAAUGAUCUAUCCAUUCAUUCAUCUCAUAUCAAACACAUAUUGAUGGUCCAUCCAUCGACCAAUCUUUUGCUCAAUAACUAACCAUGGUCACAACACAACGCCUUGUGACAAGGCGACCGAGAUUUCCCCUUGGCAAGGUCUCCACCUACAAAGUCGAUGGCUGGGCCCAGAAGGAUAUCCCAAAUCUAGUAUGCAUACCCCAAAAAGCCCUCACUGGGUUCACAGUCAUAUUGAGCAUAAUAACCAUUCUCCAAUACCAGAAAAUCCAAUCAAGAAAUCAAUAUCUUAAACUAAACGAAUAACAUUUGCGGCAUAGCCCAUCAUCCAUUUCAUAUCAAUUUCUCAAAUCAUCAUAAACCCUUUCAUGAAUCAAUCGCAAAGUAAUUUCAUAUAUAUUUCUCCACUUACUUUGUAUAAUACACUUUUCAAACAUCCACAAUCAACCAAAGAGUAACAAUUGCUCAAUCUGGCUUUUAUGCAAUACAAAUGCUCUUCUCGAUUCAAUAUAUAUAUACUUCAAGACAUGAUUUUUACAAAACCAAAGAAGAUAUAGUACGACUCACAUUGUCGUCUACAACCAAACGACGAACGAUACUCGUAUCGUGGAAUUCAAGGCCCUAUCAAAUAACCAAGAAAAAUGUUAAAAUCUAAUAAAACUCUAUCUCAAUUACGAAACAACUAAAUUACGCCUUAACUCUAACAAAAAGACUUCUACGCGCUAACAAUUCGCAUAACCAAAACGAUUGUUCAAGCCAGUCGUGAUGCGGAGUUUAAGCGCAAAACUUAGUUACGCAAUAACUUCCUCCUCCAAACCCCAUUCUGAACGUACUUAUAGUCAAUAGAGAGCCCUUGACAAAUAUUACAAGAAUCCCAACUUGACCAUCCCAAAAUCAAGCUGAAAGAUGACAAAAUACGAGCCCAAAGUUGCUGGACGCGUACUGUUCACUGCGCGCAAGAAACUUUGAAAUUUUGUUUCGGACAAACCAUAUGCUCAAAUCACGAUCCGUAAAAUCCCACGGCUUCACAACACCCUGAACUACCAUUCCUACAAAAAUACACAGCUCAACGACUCCAAAAAUGGACUUUGCCGCUGGAUUUUCUAAAAGUUCCGAAUUUGAACCCUAAACCCAUAAACUACUUCAAUUGGAUGAACGAGGAGCCUAAUCUCUUACCGGGUGCUGUGUUAUGGGGUCGAGUUGGCUUGGUGAGGCGUUCAAGGUGUGCACGUGCUAAAACUCUUUUCCUUUCUUCCCCUUUCUCUUCUUUCUUUUCUUUCUGGUUGAGGACCCCUCAGCUUCUAUUUAACCGAGCCCUCUCCUCUCUUCUUUUUACUUUAUUGACUUUUCAACUUCUUUUUAUGUUUCUUCUUUUGGGGCCCACUAGCCAAAUAUUACACCUUCCCACCGAGUCAAGUCAAUGUCGCCCCUACCAUCUUCUACGUCUCGACGUGAGGAAGUUAUUGUUGCCCGAGUGACACAUGUAAUGACGCCUUGAGGCCCUCCAUCUUUUCCUUAUCACAACUUGUCCCGUUCUUGCACCGAUUCCUCACUCCUAGUGCGUCCCACUUUCACCAGAUUUCUGAGGAAGAAAGGAAAAUGUCGAGCUCUCAGUGUUUUGAGAACCCACCAAACCUGAGCUCCACUUGCGGAGCAGGACACGUUGAAGAGCUUGCAGGUCUCAAGACUUACGUCACCGGCCCUUCCGAUUCCAAGCGUGCUGUUCUUCUCAUCGCCGAUGUUUUCGGUACUGGCCCAUUUCUUUAAUUUUGAUUUUGUGGUGUUUCUCUCAGUUGGGUCUUUUCUUUUGGUCAAUUAUGUAUAUCUCCUUGGUUCUUUGUCGUUCUUGUGCUUUUCGAUUGGUCCAUGAUAUUGCUGCUUGAUUGAUGAUCUUUGCUCAUCUGUUUGUGCAGGGUAUGAGGCUCCUAAGCUGAGGUAUGGAAUCUUUCUCAAGUUGUUCUAUGUAUAUGUUGUUCUCUAGUGCCAUCUUUUGACGUUUCAUGGUGAAUAAACUCUGUAUUCUCCGGAUAGCAUACAUUUGAAAGCUUUGCUUUUCCGUUCACCUUUCACCUGUGAUGACGAAGAGCAUUAGAUGGCACUUGAGGGCGAAGCCAGUUCAUUCUGGAUGAGUGUGUUUGGCGUUCUUCUGUUCCAAGUUAAAACAUCAUUUGUUGAAUUGUAUAUACACGCGGGACUUCAUGGCAUAGUCCAGCUGACAUUUUAUAUACAUCGCUUGAUUCAAUAUGAAUCACAGUUUUCUUUGUUCUAAUGAUUUCUGCUACUAAUAUGACUCAGCUGGUCAUGUAAUUCGGUUUCAUCUUGAGAUAGAGUUAUCCUUAGUUGCAACACCAAAAUCACAUAAGCUGGGGUUGCCUUCUUGACAGUCCCGGCAUAAUUCUAUGUUUUAACAAGAUUGAGAAUGAUAAGAGUUACCUUUUCAAAUUGUCAUACUUAUUUGCGGAAUGCUUUCGUUGUGUAGGAAACUCGCAGAUAAAAUUGCAUCCGCGGGAUUCUUGGUGGCUGUACCUGAUUUCUUUUACGGAGAUCCCAUUAUUGAUUUCACUAGUCCUAAUUUCAAUUUUGAAGCUUGGUUUAAGAAUCACGGCACGGUGAGUUUUUCACUCCUUCAGGCUGUGAAAGUGUGACAGUACAUUUAGAAGUUCAGAGGAAACAAGGGGCUUUCUACUGUGCAAACUUGAUUUGUAGACUCGAAUCACACGGUGUAAGUUGCAUUGGUAUUUAGACCUGGUUGGAGAUUGCUGGUCAUUUCAAAGAUUUUCGACGCCCAGCAAGAUCUUUAUUAUAUAAAAUUCCAAAUGCAAAACAUGAAACAGCAUAAGUAGAAUAAAAGCCUCAUGAAUUUUGAUGUUACCGACUUUUAGACAGUCUUUUUAUAAACGUUUACUUAAUUUGCUUCUUUAGGAUAAAGGGCAUGAAGAUGCCAAGCCAGUGAUUGCUGCUCUUAAGAGCAAAGGUGUGUCUACCAUUGGGGCUGCAGGAUUUUGUUGGGGAGGUAAAAUUUUCUGAAUUCACUUUCCCAGUUUUGAGGGGGUUGUUGGGUUAAGAAAUGGGAAAUUUGUUCUAGUUGGAAAUUGUGAUCCAUUUUCUCUAAAAAAAUCUAGAGCUACUAACUUAAUCAUUAAGGUGAGAACCUUCUAGAAUUGUUGAGAAUGGAGAUUGCUAGUUGAAUCUAGAAAAUUCACAUGGGAAUGCAAGCAAGCAACAGCCAAGCAUCAAAGAAAAUCCUAGAACAAGUAAGAGGAGUCUAGAGAAGUCCAUGCUUCAAGAGAAGUCUAGAAUUCUAGAAUGCUUCAAGAGAAGUUUAGAAUUCUCUAUCUUAUGUUAGUAGCUAUUUGUAGAGAAGUGUAGAGACUUCCUCCACCUACUUUGGCAGCCUAUAUAAAGGAGCAAGUGCUCCAUGUUUUGGUGAAAGGGAGCUAACCAUAAAAACCACAUCAUGCUCCCUCACCAACACUUCCUUCAACUAUUGUAAAAUUAUUUUAUCCAACUAAUGAAACUAUUUUUGUCCCAUAAACCUUCUCAAAAUAUCCCAUAUCCCAUGUUCUUUAUCCUUUAAUUAUCCUAAUUUAUCCCUUGUCCAUCCUCUACAAACUAUAUCAUACACUUGCACACAACAUCACUAAUAAAAAACUAUCAUCAAUACCAAAACCAUACUUCCGCGCAUAUUUAUAUUUUUAACAGUUCUACAUUGACCAUUGAGAAACUAGUUUUGUUGACUUGCAGAAAAGUUCUUUCAAGUUGUUAAAAAGAGCUUGCCUAUUCUUUUCAGGAGUGGUGCUGGUGAAAUUAGCAGGCACUGAAGACAUUCAAGCAGCAGUUAUUCUGCACCCCGGUCCUAUGACCGAAGAUGCAAUCAAAGGUAAAGCUAUGCCAAUAAACAUGGACUUGCUAUUUUCUUCUCAGCCGCAGCGAUAUAAUUUCUUCAUGAGGGUAUAAGACUUGGUACUUGGCACGGGAGCCUUUAUCGCCUAUUAUGAAAUGCUCAUGAACAAUUAAAUUAUAUGAAUUCUGAUGGGAGUCUGCAAUGCAGCCAAGAGUGACGAAGAAACUCGCUAUAACAUGUCCGGUCAAUCACAAAAAAUCGAUGGCACGACUUUUGUCUACUUGAGAAGUGUUCCUUAAACUGGAAGCCUUAAAAGACCUUAUUUUCUUCUGUUCUUUGUUCAGCUGUCAAGAUUCCAACUGCUAUAUUGGGAGCUGAGAUCGACCAUUCUUCCCCGCCGGAACAACUGAAAAAGUUUGGGGAGAUCAUGUCGGCUAAAACUGAAGUAAGCUUCUUAGGAUGCUUUUCGUUGGUUGCAAACCUAUUGUCAGAAAAUGCAAUCGUUUUUCCACGUUCCCAUCAUUUCGCUUGCAAAGCACUUUCCCUUCCUGGUUAUUUAUACACAUCGCUAAUUCAAAGACCCCGGUUUUGCAGUUUGAGAGCUAUGUGAAGAUAUUCCCUGGUGUUAGUCAUGGAUGGAGUGUGAGGUACGACGACGACAAUGAAUUGGUGGUCAAGAGCGCCGAAGAGGCCCAAGAAGACACUUUGAAUUGGUUCUUGAAGCAUGUCAAGUGAAGAGAACAGAAGGCAUUGAAGCAGAACAUUCUGACGGAAGCAGUAGAUGACAGUAUUGUGUGAGACGAACAGUUUGAGGACUAGUCAUCUAUUGUAAUAUCUGGCGAGGGAACAAUGUACUGUGCUGUUGAUACUUAGAGAAAUAAAGACAUUAGUUUCAUCGCUUAAACUUGGAAGAUUGAAAACGAAAUAUAUCGCCUAGAGUUGUAUCGUGGCGAUUUUCGUGGCGAUUUGGGUGCAUUUUCUAUUCGAAUUGAUCAGAGGUGUUCACUGUCCAUUAAAUGAGGACCACACAAUGGAAUAUGAAACAGCAUAUUCGUUUCCAAUCCCAAGGAUAUGUUAUUUGCAUGGUUACCACCAAGUCAUCAGCUAAAGUGGCUAGUAUCUAAUGUAAUCUCUAGACCACUUAAUUUUAAAUGCAUCCAUUAUAUUAUAAGUUAUAACUUGACAAGUAUGCGAGCAAUUAAGAUUUCAUUAAAAGAUACACGAUCUCAAAAUCGCAUGCCCCAAGAAAAAAAGAAGAAGAGAUGAAAGUAAGGAUAUGGAGAAAAAUAGUAUCCAAAAUAUAUGAGAAACCAACUAUUUGAACUUAUGACAAAAGCGAAGCGUUUGUUUUUGGUCAAGUCUAUAUGCUAGUAGGUCAAGAUUUUUCGAAACUAAGUCAGAUAGACAUGGAAAAAUUCGUCCUUCAUGUAUAUGGUAUAUAUUUUCGCAAUGUGCAUUUGUAUACUGACCAAAAAAUUUCAGCUUUUGGCCAGAUGGUGUUUUUUUGUGAGAGAACGCAUGUCUCCAUCGGGCUAAAUAUAUUAUGGUUUCGUCUUUGUUCGUUUCUCGUCUGUUUCUCACCGGCCCUCUUUCUUGUUUGACAUCAGCAGUGACGUUAAUACGAACCACGAGACCUUUGAUGACUAAUCUGAACCAUAAGAUUACACGGACACCUUUUUCAGACACUGUGAUAUUGUAUCGCGGAUAAGCCAAUGGUUUUCAGAAGGCAAAGCAUGAUUCCACUUAGCGACCAGUGAAUCACCGUAUCAUCUCUCGUCUCUUGGCUCUGUUCUUACCUCGGAAAGAAUAAAGAAACGAAGAAAAAGACCAUGAACAGUAAACAAUGAAAGAAAAGAGAAGAAAAGAUCAAAAUAUCUAUAAUUUUUUUCAAAACGACGUCGUUUUGAGUGGAGUUGUGCAUGUCAAUAUCACUAACCCUUGCCAUGUAAGAUGACAAGCAUUGAUUUGCACCUCUACAUCAGAAUUUCCUGACAUAAAUUAGUUGGAUAGACAAUAUUACAAAAUUGUUGAAAGGUUCAUGACUACACUAGCCGAAUUGGUCAGUUUAUUACAAAAUUGGAACUUGUACAAUUUGUUCACAGCUUUUGGGUAGUUUUUCCCAUCUUAAGUAAGUCGUAAUUCUAAUACAUGGACGCAUAAGCUCUAUGCUUUUCUUAUUAUGAAGGUUGAAUUCCAUUUGAAGGUUAGGUAAUCGUUUUCUGGUUUAGGUAUUUAUUUUUUGUCCUAUGGUGAAUUAGGUGAUGCUUUUUUCGCCUCGUUGGGACAGAGAAAACUGCUUUGUCUCCAAUCCGGCAACUUCCAUAUUGCUGAACCUGGACAUGAAUUUAGUAUCUGUAACACAAUUGUUGAAAUAACCUAAUGAAAAAACCUAGAUUGGUCGAAAUUGGUUGAUUUGGGUCAUCUAGGAACCGGCUUGUUGAAUUAAAGUCUAUCGAACCCAUUGGUUGAUCCAGGCUGAAAUUGGAUUAGUCCACUUAUCAAUUGCGUUAACAUGUCAGGGCUCAACAGCCGGCAAUUAUCUGGAUUUGUAAGAAAGAUCCAUGCAUAGCCGGUGAUGGGCCUUUCUCUCUGGGAAAUUGGACAUUGCUGAAAAAUGCUUUCAAAGAUCUUUCUAUUGGAGUUUUCGAAGUUCUCCAUAUCCACCAAAAAUGUUUAAUUUUUACUAGUUCAGAUUUUCAAAUGAGAUAAAAAAAAAAUCAUUUUGAGAUGUUUGCUUUCAAAAGUUUCUAAAAUAAGUUUCUAAAGAAAAAUACUCGAGUUUAGCGCACAUCAGACGAUCCCUUCCUCGAGACUGUGGAGUGGUUCCUCGGGUCCAAGAUUCGGGGACAAGGGGGUAGGUUUCCCAAGUUCAAGCACUGGAUUCUACGCACUCCCGAGGCUAAGUACGAGGCAUCGGAAGUAGGGGACCGAGGUCCCAUCUUGCUCUGUUACGUAGUGGCGAGUGUUGGGGUCCCUGGUUCAACGCACCAACGUCCCGAGUCCAGCUACUGAAGUUUCAGGACUAAGCAUGGUGGUCUUGAAUUUGACCCACAAGCACCCAAGAUAUUGGGUCCUAGCACUUGGUUCCUAAGUUCGACCCUAAGGUCCUAUGUUUCGCAGCUGAAGUUCCCUAUCUCCAUAGAUGAGGCGAUCGGGUUCUCGAAUUUAGAUGAUAAGGUCUUGGUUUAGCCUUAGGUCAAGGGCAUGGGGAUUGGGGUCCCAAGUUCAAGGUCGAUGACACGGGCGUGUAUUUUAAAUAUUAUAACUUUUUACUAAGUUCCUUGAUAUUUAACAUAUGCUAGGAUAGAAUUUCUUUGUAAUUUAAUUAGAAUUUCAUUAGUUCUUCAAAUAUGUUAAGUUUUCUUGUUAUAUAAAAUAUUGAGAGUUUUCCUCUGUUGCAUUCAUGUGUGUGCGCCAUCGUGUGUAGUGCGAGUGUUCACUUGUGUUGGCAAAUUGCCACUUGUGCAAUCACUCUUUUAUGUUACAUUAAACGGGUCCGGCAUUUGAGCACCGAUGUCUCAAAUUCAACCUUAAGAUGCAAAGCCCGGCCUGUCACACCCCAAAAACUACAAAGAAUGGGGAUGACACAAAGGUCCUUCUUUACAAAGGACGUAGCCUCAAACACAACCAGCAAACUGAUAUUAACUUAUAUAUAUAUCAGAUAAACCUUCAAAUUGGUUGCAACAUCAGAGUUCCUAUAUGUUGGAGAAAUCUUCCUGGAGUAUUUUGAAGCUGAUAAAACGUUUCCAUCAGUCUAGUCUGAAGAUUUGCAGACUCUACUAUUUAAAGUCUGAAGACCUCUGGACUGCCAGACUCAAGACUCAAAGUCUAUUCUCAUUGACAGUUUCUAAUCCGUCGAAGAAGGGCUAUCCAAGACUGGAUGUUUCGUUAAGGAUUUGACCUUAUCGACUGGAGAAGAUCGCUUGGCUAGAUAUGACAUAACGGAAUCCUUUAUUGACUCAAAGAUUGAGGAUCCGAUGAUUGGCGGAGUAUACUUGGAAGGUUCUACUUAUGGAAACCGAGAUCCUGAUUGUAUAGGCGAGCAGGAUUGAUGGGCUAUCGACAUGUUCCUUAAAUAGCUUGAAUGAUCUUCCUAAUUGAUUCUGUCAAACGGGAAGAUUGGAAGAAUUUAUUUGGUAAGUGCCGACGGGUAUGAUGGCAUAAAGGAGUAUAUAAGGAAGACGUUCCAGUUGUUCAAGUGUGUGUGCGAUAGAAGAAUUCCAAAGUCUGAAGCUCUUUGUUCUUAGUCAAUUCAUUUUCUGAGCAAAAUCUUGUAUGCAAAAGAGAGUCCAUAUUCUUGAGAAACCUUGAGGAAGUGUGCUAGAGUAUCUACACUGUGGAAUCAAGGGAAAGCCUUGCUGUAACAACUCUUUUGUUCAUAGUGAAAUCCAGCCGGUGGGCUGUCAAUGUGGAAGAGUGGACGUAGGCUUGGAAUAAGCCGAACCACUAUAAUUUCUGUAUUCAUUUUCUCUUCCCUACUCUCUGCUUUACUUUGAUCAUAAUUCGCUUUGUUAACGAAAGGAGAACUUCCUUUCUAUUGUCUGCUUAGUAUUGCUCUCUUAUCUCGAGAAAAUAUUUUUUACACCUAUUCACCCCCCUCUAGGUGCUUAUACUAGAUAUCUCAAUUGGUAUCAGAGCCUGUGUACUCACUUUGUUUGAAGUGUUUUACUUUAGAGUUAAAGAUCCAUGGCUAGUAUGUUAGCUCCAGGGCUAGUAGAAGGGCAAAGCAAUACCAGACCACCUUACUUUGAUGGAAAUGAAUACAACAUAUGGAAAAACAAGAUGAAGGCGUUCCUAAGAUCAAAGGAUCCUCUGGAAUGGGACGUUAUAGACAACGGAAUCAUUCCUAAAGCUGCACCUGUCUUAGAGAGAGGAAAAGAAACUGUUGAGUCUAGUGAAAUGACUUAGGAAGAGAUAACCAAGAGACAAGCUCUUGAUGCAAAAGUAAUUUAUUCUUUAUAUUGUGCUUUGUCACCUACUGAAUAUAACAGAUUAUCUUCUUGUGUUACAGUGAAAGAAGUUUGGGAUAGAUUACAUAUUACCUAUGAAGGAACCGAUCGAGUGAAAGAAACCAGAAUCAACAUUCUCCUCGGUCAAUACGAAACCUUCAAAAUGAAAUCAGGAGAAUCUAUAACUGAAAUUGUGAAUGGUCUUGAAAAUCAAGGUCAACCAAUUUCUGAUCCCAUGAAAGUAAACAAGCUACUGCGUGGACUCUCCAAGGAUUGGAAUCACAUAAAGACCUCAAUAAGGGAGACACAAAGAAUUAUGCCACUAUCUGUCGAUGAGUUAGUUGGGACUCUUCAGUCUUAUGAAGUGGAACGAAUCAAUGAAGACGAAGAUCCUAAAGGUAAGAAAUCCAUUGCAUUAAAAUCCAAUGAUGAUUAUGAUGUUACAGAUUCUGAAGACGAUAUGGAUGAUGAGGAGCUUGCUCUCAUGAUAAGAAGAUUCAGAAAGCUGUACAGAAAAGGAAGAAGAUUCAAUCCAAAGAAACAAAGUUUUCAAAAGUAACAGACUAAGUUUGUUGAGGAUGAUGAAUCAAAUAGAGAUGUAGUCUGCUUUGAAUGUAAGAAACAUGGACACAUCAGACCCAACUGUCCUCUUCUGAGGAAGAAGAAAGGAAAAACUAAAAAGUAUCGAAAUGCUCUUAAAACAGAAACCUGGAGUGAUACAGAAUGUGAAGAAAGUGAUGAUGAUUAUGCCAAUAUAUGUCUGGUGGCACAAUCGGAUUUAGAUUCAAAUUCCAAGACAGACUCAGAUUCAGACAGUGAAGUUGAGGUGAGUAACUCUAAAAUCCUUAUUAAAGUUUCUAAAUACAUUGAUGAGUUGUGUUUUAGUCUUAAGACUUCUCUUAAAAUGAUUUCCGAACUUAAAAAGGAAAAUUCUGCAUUAAAACAACAGGAAAAUGUUUUAAAAGAAAAGGUGAAAUGUUUAGACAUGAAUGUUUCUACUCUUAAAGAAAGAGAAGACAACCUUUCGAAAGAAAAUGUAUUUUUAAAAAAUGACAUAUCAAAUAUUUCCAAAAGAUUUUCAAUAGGAUUUGAGAAACUUGAGAAAAUUCUUUCAGCACAAAGACCUUAUUUCAAUAAAUCUGGUUUGGGAAUGACUGUGGAAACCAUUCCUUUAAUUGAUUUUCCUAAAGUGAAGGAAAGAAUUAAGCAAAGACCCAUAAGAGAUGCUUACAAAAAUCAUUUUAAAAAGGUCUUUGUAAAACCAAUAGGUCUCAAUGCUCUCAGAUGUUCAAAGUGCAAUAGUUCAGAUCAUUUUGAGAAAGAAUGUCCUAUGGUUUUGAAACCUGUUAAAAAAGUAUGGGCAAAAACUGCAUAUCAUACUAACACCAAUGGACCCAAUAAAAUAUAGGUACCAAAGAAAGUUUGAGUCUCUUUUUUAAAUGCAGGUCACUAUCAAGAAGAAGGUAAAAUGGUAUCUAGAUAGUAGAUGCUCAAGACAUAUGACAGGAGAUUCAAAUUGCUUCAUAAAGCUCAUUCAAGUAAAUGGUGGAAAAGUAUCAUUUGGAGGAAACAUCAAAGGAAGAAUUGUGGGAUUUGGAACUGUAAAUAUUGAAAACCUCACAAUCAGCAAUGUUUCCUUAGUGGAAGGACUCAACUACAAUCUGCUCAGUAUCAGUCAGUUGUGCGAUACCAGUUUCAAAAUCAACUUUCAAGAAAGAAUAUGUUCAGGAACUAGUAAAGAUUCCACUCAGUCAUCAUGGGUCGAAGACAUGGAAAUAUCUACCUCUUGGACGUGAAACCAGAUGAAUCGCAAUGUCUAAUCUUAAUUCAAGACGAAGCGAACUUAUGGCACAGAAAACUUGGGCACAUCAAUAUGAAGCAAAUAGCCAAAAUUUCAGCAAAGAAGCUAGUUCGUGAUCUACCCAAUCUGUCAUACCAAAAGUCUGAUCUAUGUACACCAUGUGUAUUGGGAAAGCAGGUAAGAAAUUCAUUUAAACCAAUAAAUCAAGUUUCCACUAAUUGUGUACUGCAGCUUCUACAUAUGGAUCUCUUUGGAUCAACCAGAACUCAGAGCAUUAGAGGUAAAAAAUAUUGCCUAGUAAUUGUGGAUGACUACUCACAAUUUACUUGGGUAUAUUUCCUGACAAGUAAGUCUGAAACAUUUAUUUACUUUGAAAAGUUUGCUAAAAAGAUUCAAAAUGAAAAAUGGUAUGAUAUUUCAAGUAUAAGAAUAGACCAUGGAGGUGAAUUUGAAAAUCAAUAUUUUACAAAAUUCUGUGAUGAAUCUGGUUUUCAGCAUGUGUUCUCCUCUCCAUAUACUCUAGAGCAAAACGGAGUUGUGGAAAGAAAGAAUAGGCCGCUUCAAGAAAUGGCUAGAACUCUUUUAAUUGAAAGUAACAUCUCUUCACGUUUUUGGGCUGAAGCAGUUUCUACAGCAUGUUAUAUUAUUAAUAGAGUUUUUCUAAGACCUAUUAUGGAAAAAAAAAACCCUAUGAGUUAUUCAAAGGAAAAAAAGCCUAUUGUUUCAUAUUUUCAUGUGUUUGGAUGUAAAUGCUUUAUAUUGAAAAAUGCAAAUGAUCGAGUUGGCAAGUUUGAAGAAAAAUCAGACGAAGGCAUCUUCCUUGGAUAUCCUACCUCAAGCAAAGCCUACAGAGUCUACAACAAGAAGACUCAAUCUGUGGAGGAAUCAAUGAAUGUCAAAUUCCAAGAUUUUAUGCAAAAUGAAUCUAUUCAGACCCAUCUUGAAGAAUCUGAACCUGCUCCAGACUCUACAAAGUCUAAAUCUCAAGAAGCAGUUCAAACUUCGAAAGACUAGCAUCAAAUGAUUGUUGAAGAUUCAAAUGAAGAAAGUGAUAAUCAACCUGACAAAUCAACCAGUAACUGGAAGCAUAAGUCUAGUCAUCCCAAAGAUCUCAUUAUAGGCGAGAUUAAUGAAGGAAUUCGCACAAGAUCCAAAAUGCGCGAAGAGUCUAGUGGUGUACCUCUUAUUUCUGAAAUAGAACCCAAAAGCAUAAAAGAAGCUUUAUCUGAUGAAAGCUGGAUUGAAGCCAUGCAAGAAGAACUCAGGCAAUUCAGUAUUAAUGAUGUCUGGGAAUUGACUCCUAAACUGAAAGAUAAAUAUAUUAUUGGAGCUAAAUGGGUUUUCAGGAACAAGAUGGACGAGAAAGGAAAGGUCGUAAGAAACAAAGCAAAACUCGUGGCCAAGGAAUAUACGCAAGAAGAAGGGAUAGACUAUGAUGAGACUUACGCACCAGUAGCGAGGUUAGAAGCAAUUAGAAUAUUACUUGCUUUUGCUUGUUAUAAGUUAGCUGUGGACUAGGAUCCUUAUGUGAAUGAUCCAGGGUCAAUUUACAACAUCCAUGUAUUGGAAUCUCUAAGCUCCCGAGAUUAUAUAUGAGGCACUAAGUAGGACACCGAGGUCUCGUCUUGCCUUGUUGUCUAGUGGCGUGUGUUGGGGUCUUAGGUUCAAGGCACUAACGUUCUUAAUCCAAGAGGUCUUGAGACUAAGCAUUGACGUCUCGAAUUUGAUCCAUAAGGGCGUGUUUGAUAACGUUUCUGUUGCCGGGAACAAUUUCUAAGCAUUUUAAGCCGUUUGGUAACUGUCCAAAAUUUCAAUUCUCGGAAUAGAAUUGCGUUUAGUACAGUGCUCAAAAUUUCUACUCCAAAUCAUUUUCUUUUAAUUUUUAAAUAUUUUUAUUAAUUUUUUUCCUUUUUUCUUCUUUUCUUUUUUCCCUUUCUUUCUCAUAUUCUUCUUCUUCAAGUGGCCAAUUGUCAACAGGUUGGUCGGUGACUGGCUAGACGAGAGUUGGCAACCUCACCGGAGCGUUGCCAACCCUUGGCGAGGACGGCCAUCGUUGGCCGAGCCUCGCUGGCAGCUGGGCAAGGCUCGGCCAAGCCUCAGCGGGGUUGGGGGAGGCCCGCUUGGCCACCGACGAGGCUCGCCUAGCCCUUUUGAGCCUCACUGAACUAGUUGCUAGUGAUUGGUGAUGGUGGGCGGCGGAUGGCGAACGGCAACCACGGCGGUGGCAGUAGAUGAAGAAGAAGAAAAGGGAAGAAGAACAAGAAAAUAAAAAGAGAAAUUGAUUUUAGAAUUGUUCCCAAGAACAAGAAUCAACCUUUUUUAUUUUUAUUUUUUUAUUCUUGAUUCUGUUCCAAAUCUACUUUCGGGAACAAAAACAUAGAAAUUUAUUUCUGAGAACAAAAUUUUUACUAAACACGAUUCUAUUCCAAAAUUGCUCAUGGGAACAAAAGAAUAUAAAUUUUUACUAUUUGGCCAGUUAGCAAACAUGACCUAAGCAAGCACCCAAAGGUCAUGGGUCUGGGCAACUGGGACCUAAGUCCAACCACAAGGUUCUAUGUUUGGUAGCCAAAGUCUCAUCUCUUCAUGGAUUCAACAGUUUGAGUUUUGAGUUAAGAUGCUGAAGGCUUGGUUCAACCCUAGGUGCUAGGGACCGCGCCCAUUGUUCCCAAGUUGAUGACAUGGGAUGCAUGUUUUUAAAUAUUAUGAUUUUUAUUUAUUCUCUUGUCUUUCUUUAUUUUAGAAAUUAUUUUAGAAUACUGGAUGAUUUGUUUCAAUAGUUAUCAUUUACAUAUUUAAGAUAUCGUGGGAUAGAAUUUCUUAUUAGUUUACAUAUUUCCUAUUAUAAAAUUAGAAUUUCCUAAGUGUUUUAGAUAUAAAUAUGCAUUGUGUUUUCUUGUAAUUUGGCUUAUUUAUUGAUGAAUAAAGGGAAAAUUUCAAAUGAGGGCAUAUGGUGCUCUCAUUUUCUCAAAUAAGUGCCUGAAGUAACCGUUAUUUUAAAUAAGGGCUAGAAAAAAAUGAAUUGACCAAAUUCUCUCGAAUAAGGACUUUUGGCUAGCCGUUGACUAUUCUGCCAUUGGAGAAAGGGUAUUUUAGUAAAAAAAGUUCUAAGUAUAUAUUUUUUAUUUUUCUCUCCUUGCCAUGCCUCAAGUGAGGGUUGCCUUUGCUGGCGUUGGGUGAGGGUGAAGGUUGCCCUUGUUAGCCCAAGUGAGGCGAUCCUUGCCAAAUGCUGGGGAGGAGGAGCCGUUGCCUGAGUCCAGCAACUUGAUGGAAAAGGGGGAAAAAAGAAAAAGAAAAUAACAAAAAAAAAAGAAAAAAAAAGGAAUUUUUGUAAAGAUGAAAAUGCCUUUCGAUCAGCAAGGUUAGCCUCUUCUUUGAGACCAAUAUGGCUACUUUAGGUAUUCAUAUGAAACAAUUUCACUUCAAGCCCUUAUUUGAGAAAAUUAUAGCACUUCAAGCCCUUAUUUAAAAUAAAGUCUACUUUAGGCCAUUAUAUGAGAAAAAAAAAAGGAACACUUUAAGCCCUUAUUUGGAAUUUUCCCAUGAAUUAAUGAAAAAAUAGUGAGGUUUUCUUUGUAGCAUUUCGUGUAUGUGCAUCGAAAUGCAUAUCAUGAGUGUUUACUUGCGUUAAGGAAUUCUCAUAUAUGCUAUCACUCAUUUAGGUUAUGUUGGGCUAUCAUAGGUGUUGUCUAGGCAUCACUUGUCUAGCAGUAGUGCUUGUUCAACACUUGUUGCUCCAUAGCUUGCAUAUAAACUAAUUCGAUUUGGAUCACCAUUGGGUUUUUAUUUCUUAACCAUACCAAUUUGCUUCUUAAAUUCACCAAUUUAUCGAAAGGUUGAAAAAAUAAAAUCCAUGCCUAAUAAUUAGGGAAAAUAAAAGUUUAAUAUCAUCUCUGGUAGGAGCUGGAUUUAUAGUGCCACUAGUGAGCAAUUUCACCCAAAAGAACAUGUUUAAUUGAGAAACCUUGAACCGACACAAACAAGGAAAGGAUUACCCACAAAGGGCAAGACAGAAAAGGUGAAAUAUAGACUCCACCUUAAAAAAAAAAACCCAAUUAUAGAUUCACCAUCAUAGCAUCCAGCCAAAAGAUGGAAAAAGGAAGGAACCCCAUCGAUUGCGACAAUCACUAUCGGAAAAUAGAUAAGCUUCGCACAACUUGUGCACUCCACAAAAUGAUUGCGCCCGUCACAAGUUAUGGAGCGCCCCAAUGUCAACAUCUUUAGGGCUAGAACGGCUUAAUUGAUAAGAAAUCAUCUUGAUUAUCAUCAAGACAACGUUGGCCUAAGAAAUCGAGUCUGAUUGGGAUUUGGAAAAAAAUGCAUAUAUUCGCGUCGAUAAUGACAUUUUACGCGCGCGGGUAACAUUUUCAAUGGUGGGAUUGGUGUAGGUCUGCGCAUCCAGAAAUGAUUGUUGCGACAAUGAGUCUUUAUCUUGAUAUUGAUUAAGUUUAACGCGUUUUUAUAAAGAGUCAAAUGAUUUAUUUUUUUUUAAAGCAAAGAAUUAAUCAUUAUUUGAUGCCUAGGGGGCCGUGCCAAACACAGAGAACGAGGAGACAUCGCCAUAGAAAAAGUUGGUACCUUGAUUUGACGGAUUUUUUCAUACUACACACAUCAACCGUUCACGUACUCCAAAGGCGGGGCCUCUCAUGCUUCGAGUCAUGAAAUACCCACAAGAAUUUAUUUGCUUUGUCACUAUAUUAUUUAUCACCUAUGUAUGUAUUUAUGCAUCAACUUAGGUGAAAAUCAUCAUAUAUAAACCGAACCACUAUGAGUCAAAUUAUUCCAUACAUACAUACAUACAUACAUAUAUAUAUAUAUAUAUGUAUAUAUGUAAAGUAUGUUUGUUUUGUGAUUUUUGCUCUAUUAAGUUAAUGUAACAUGUACAAAAGGCGAUCGUCCGACGAGUUUGAGAUUUUACAAAACACAAGCUAAAUUGUUCCCUCUAGUCAAUUUCAAAAGAGUUGGAAUAUUGCAAACUUAACGAAUUUUUAUUUUCUUUUGAAAAACAGAACACCAUUUGUCCGCACAACAAGAGGAGACAUUACCAAAUUUUGUGGACAUGCUUUGUCCGAGACCCAGCCCAUGUCCAGCAGCCCAGAUUGUGAUGGGUCCAGCCUGGACAGGCCCAUGGGGUGGCUGAUGGGCCUUGUCAAACACUAUUCAGUUGCUCUCCUAAGCUACAUAAACGAUCAACGAUAAAAUUCAAUGUCACAAGACAAUUUUCUAUCGGGCACAAUGCAAAUAAUGAGGUCCUAGAAUUAUAUAAUUGCUUUUGAGAUGCGAAGUUCUCAUUUAUCUAAAUCAAUCGUAGCAUGGCAAGUGUUACCAACUUCCUUAUCUUCUUUCAAGAUUAAUAAUAGUAUUUUUCCACAUGAUGAUCCACUUGGAUGGAUUGAAAUGUCAUACUUUGAGAGCACAUAAUUUUUUUUUUAGUAGAUAGAUAUUUUAUUCCUUCUCCUGUUUGCAUUCUAAUAUAAAAAUAUGAAUGCCGCUACCCAAUAUGCUUUCCACUUAAUGAUUGGAGCGUUGAUCUUGUUGUAAAUGCUAGAUCAUCAACUAGGCCGUCUUAAUAAAGAUUAGUUGAAGUUUGCUAUACUUAAGCUCUUUGUGAGGUGCCCAAAACGAGCUCCAAAUUGCAUAAAGACCUUUGACAUGAGCCUGUAAUUUGAAGAGACAGUCGACGUGACCCCAAGUUUUGUAUAUUUGUAAUCUUAACGCAUGUAUGUUGUGGACCUACUUGGUCGCAUCCCAUAUGCUUGGGUUUUGUCAUGUUCAAUUGGAUGUCGCCAUAUCCAAGUUUGUCAUAGCUGUCGACCUAGACUAGGUAAGAACCACAUCAAUUUGCUUCAGUCGGUCGUGAGUAAAUUAUGAGCUGGGAUAAAUGCAAGUGAAUCUCAAGUGAUGCACUGGAGAAAAUAUUUGGAAAUGCCAUCGAACCUCACCUUUUGUCACUUCUAAGUAGUUAUUGAAUGAUCGGGAACGCCUUCUGUCACACCCGAAAACUACAAAGAAUGGGGAUGACACAGCCGUCUAUCCACACGAAGGACGUAGCCUCAAACACAACCAAUAAACUGAUAUCAACUUAUAUAUAUCUCAAAUCAUAUAUAUACAUAUCAGAUAAAUCAAUAAAUUGGUUGCAACAUCAAAAUUUCUAUAAUCCACCAAAAAAGAUAUACGUUUAAAACUCAGACAAUACAACCACUAGCAGGGAUCAUAUGCACCACUUCCUUAAACCAUACCAAAGAAAAUAAAAAUAGGACUCCCUAAAAGUUUCCCACCAACGGCCCUCUCGCUCUAUUCGCUGCUAACCGAGGAACUUGAAAAGAUUAAAAGAGGAGUGGGAUGAGCAACAACAACUUAGUGAUACCAAACUUCAUAACGCCAACUCAAUAUAUAAAAUACAUAUCAAAUCUUAUAAGAGUUAUUUCUUAUCAUCAAAGCUUAAUAAUAAUAUGGAAAACUCAUUUAAAUCGCCAUCAAAAGUCAAGUAUCAAUAGUCGAAUCCAUUGAAUAAUCUCCAUCAAAAAUACAUAUCAAUGGUCUAUCCAUUCAUUCAUCUCAUAUCAAACACACAUCGAUGGUCUAUCCAUCGACCAAUCUUUUGUUCAAUAACUAACUAUGGUCACGACACAAUGCCUUGUGACAAGGUGACCAAGAUUUCCCCUUGGCAAGGUCUCCACCUACAAAGUCGAUGGCUGGGCCCAGAAGGAUAUCCCAAACCUAGUAUGCAUACCCCAAAAAGCCCUUACUGGGUUCACAGUCAUAUUGAGCAUAAAUAACCAUUCUUCAAUACUAGAAAACCCAAUUCAGAAAUCAAUAUCUUAAACCAAACAAAUAACAUUUGCGGCAUAGCCCAUCAUCCAUUUUAUAUCCAUUUCUCAAAUCAUCAUAAACAUUUUCAUGAAUCAAUCACAAGGCAAUUUCAUAGAUAUUUCUCCACUUACUUUGUAUAAUACACUUUUCAAACAUCCACAAUCAACCAAUGAGUAGCAAUUGCUCGACCUGGCUUUUAUGCAAUAAAAAUGCUCUUCUCGAUUCAAUAUAUAUACAUAUAUAUACUUCAAGACAUGGUUUUUACAAAACCAAAGAAGAUAUACUACCACUCACCUCGUCCUCUACGACCAAACGACGAACGAUACUCGUAUCGUCGAACUCAAUGCCCUAUCAAAUAACCGAGAAAAAUGUUAAAAUCUAAUAAAACUCUAUCUCAACUACGAAACAACUAAAUUACGCCUUAACUCUAACAAAAGGAUUUCUACUCGCUAAUAAUUCGCAUAACCAAAACGAUUGUUCAAGCCAUUCGUGACGUGGAGUUUAAGCGCAAAACUUAGUUACGCAAUAACUUUCUCAUCCAAACCCCGUUCCGAACGUACUUUUGGUCAAUAAAGAGCCCUUGACACAUAUUACAAGAAUCCCAACUUGACUGUCCCAAAAUCAAGCAAAAAGAUGACAAAAUACGGGUCCAAAGCUGUUGGACACGUACUGUUCAUUGCGCGCGAGAAACUUUGAAAUUUUGUUUUGGAAAAACUUAUUAGCUCAAAUCACGAUCCAUAAAAUCCCACGGCUCCACAACACACUAAACUACCAUUCCUACAAAAAUACGCGGCUUAACGACUCCAAAAUCGGACUUCGCCGCUCGAUUUUCCAAAAAUUCCGAAUUUGAACCUUGAACCCAUAAACUGCUUCAAUUGGACGAAUGGGGGGCCUAAUCUCUUACCGGGUGCUGCAUUAUGGGAUCGAGUUGGCUUGGUGAGGCAUCUGAGGCAUGCAUGUGCCAAAACUUCUUUCCUUUCUUCUUCUUCUUCUUAUUUAUUUAUUUAUUUUUGGUUGAGGACCCCUCAGCUUCUAUUUAACCGAGCCCUGACUUUUCAACUUCUUUUUCUGUUUUUUCUUUUGGGGCCCAGUAGCCAAAUAUUACAUUCUACCUUCCUAAAAAAAAAUUUCGUCCUCGAAAUUUACAUGUACUUCAAUCAUAAAACAAGUGAUGGUAUUUGUGUCAUGCCUCCUCCUCGAGUUCCCAAGUAGCCUCUCUCUCGGUGUGGUUUUGCCAUUGUAUUUUCACAUAAGGAAUAGUUCGUCGCCGCAACACCUGAUCCUUCUUAUCGACAAUGCAAAUAUGUUGUUCCUCAUAUGUCAAGUUCUCCCGUAAUCUCAAUGGAGUAAAGUCUAGCACAUGUUCAGGAUUUGCACAUAUUUCCGCAACAAAGAGACAUGGAACACAUUAUGGACAGUUGAUAGUGCCGGUGGCAAAGCCAAUUUAUAAGCGACUUCACCAAUUUUCUCUAAGAUCAAGAAUGGUCCCAUGUACCUUGGAUUUAACUUCCCACGUGUGUCAAAUCUCGUUACACCCUUCGUAGGAGAAACUUUUAAGAACACGUGAUCCCCCACAUUAAAUUCUAACUUGCGUCUUUUUAGAUCCGCAUAACUUUUCUGAUGAUUUUGAGCCGUUCUGAGACGUUCUCGAACCAACCUAACUUUCUCUUCUAAUUGCUGGAUGAACUUAGAGCCAGUUAGUCUUUUCUCACCAACGUCUUCCCAAAAAAUAGGACUUCUACAUUUUCGUGCCAUCUUAAUACUGGAGUGAUAAUUGUUGUUAUAAGAAAAUUAUGCCAAAUAUAGAUAUUCAUCCCAAGAACCGCCAAAGUCAAUGAUGCAUGAUCUCAACAUAUCCUCUAAUGUCUGGAUCGUUCUCUCUGAUUGUCCAUCUGUUUGUGGAUGAAAAGCUAUACUUAAGUUGAGUUUAGUGCCCAAUGCUGCUUGCAAACUCUUCCAAAAGUUAGACACGAACCUAGGAUCCCUAUCAGAAAUAAUGCUUACAGGAACUCCAUGAAGCUUCACUAUCUCAUUAACAUAUCGCCUUGCCAUAUCUUCCAUUGAAAGACCAAAUCGAUAUGACAAAAAGUGAGUGGACUUAGUCAAUCGAUCACCAUUCACCCAAAUAGAAUUCCUACCACUGGGCGUCCUCGGUAGACCAACUACAAAGUCCAUGGCAAUAUGCUCCCACUUCCAUGUAGGUAUCUCUAGAGGUUGCAACUAUCCACCUGGUUUAUGAUGUUCAAUUUUCACUGGCUGGCAAACUAAACAUUGAUCAACAAAUUUUAUAAUAUCAUUUUUCAUGUUGAUUCACCAAAAGUUUUUUCUCAAGUCCCUAUACAUUUUAGUGCUUCCCGGAUGAAUUGAAAAUCUAGUACUGUGAGCUUCUUGCAGGAUCUCCUUUUUCAGCUUUGAGUCCUCAGGAACACAUAGUCAACCACGAAACCUCAAGGAUCCAUCUAUGUGUAAACUAAAUCUGCUUGUCUUUAAGCUUCCACAGCUUCUCUAAUUUUUUGUAAUUGUGGAUCUUCAUUCUGUUUAGCCUUAAUUAUGUUAAUCAACAUAGGUUGUACUUGAAGAUUAGCUAAUUGAGCACCAAGCUGCUGCACCAACACCUCUAAGUCUAACUUCCUCAUAUCUUCAAGAAUGAGUUUUUAAGAAGUGAGCAAAGCUACCAUAUUUCCAAAGGAUUUACGACUCAAAGCAUUCGCUACCACAUUAGCCUUACCCAGAUGGUAAUUAAUGGAUAAGUCAUAAUCAUUCAAAAGUUCUAACUAUCUUCUUUGCCUCAUGUUCAGUUCUUUCUGAGUAAAAAUAUACUUUAGACUCUUGUGAUCGGUAAAGGCUUCACAUUUUUCACCAUACAAAUGAUGCUGCCAUAUCUUCAAGGCAAACACAACCGCCGCUAACUCCAAAUCAUGAGUGGGGUAGUUCUUCUCAUGUAAUUUCAAUUGUCUAGAAGCAUAGGCAACAACUUUGCUAUUUUGCAUAUAAACACAACCCAAACCUUCUUUGGAUGCGUCGCAAUAGAUUAUGAAGCCACCACUUCCAGAAGGUAGAGUUAGAAUAGGAGCCGACACCAGCCGUCUCUUCAACUCUUGAAAACUAUGUUCACAUUGGUCUGACCAUUCAAAUUUAACUUUCUUCUGGGUUAGACGGGUAAGUGGACUAGCAAUCUUUGAGAAUCCCUCUACAAAUCGCUUAUAGUAGCUGGCUAGCCCAAGAAAACUUCUCACUUCUGUAACAUUAGUUGGACGAUUCCACUUAACAACUACUUCAACCUUCUUUGGAUCCACUAAUAUGCCAUCCUUCGAGAUCACGUGACCCAAGAAUUCUAUAUGAUCAAGCCAAAAAUCACACUUACUAAAUUUGGCAUACAACUUCUUUUCAUGUAAAGUCUGCAAGACAAACCUCAAGUAUUGUUCGUGUUCCUCUAAACUCUUCGAAUACACUAGGAUGUCAUCAAUGAACACCAUAAUAAAUUUGUCUAGAUAUUCCCUGAACACUUUGUUCAUCAAGUCCAUGAAGGCAACAAGCGCAUUUGUUAAUCCAAAAUGCAUGACGAGAAAUUCAUAAUGGUCAUACCUUGUUCUAAAAGUGGUUUUAGGCACAUCAUCUGUUUUUAUCUUCAACUGAUGAUACCCAUAACGAAGGUCAAUCUUGGAAAAUACCUGAGCUCCCUGAAGUUGAUCAAAUAAAUCCUCAAUCCAAGGCAAAUGAUAUUUGUUUUUAACCGUUACCUUGUUAAGCUCUCGAUAAUCUAUGCAAAGCUGCAUACUACCAUCCUUCGUUUUCACAAAUAGAACAGGAGCUCCCCAAGGCGAAACACUAGGUUUGAUGAAACCUUAUCGAAAAGCUUUUCAGUUGCGUUUUCAAUUCUUUCAAUUCAGUGGGUGCCAUCCGAUAUGGUGCCUUAGAGAUUGGUGCUGUACCGAGCAUCAAUUCAAUACAAAACUCAAUUUCUCUAUCAAGAGGCAAGCUUGGUAAAUCCUCAGGAAACACACUUGGAAACUCUCUAACGACAGGAACAUCUUCCAACUUUACUACAACCUUAUGUGUGUCUUUUACACAAGCUAAAUAACCACAACAGCCUUUUCUCAAAAGUUUCCUUGCUUGCAAAGCUGAGGUCAACCUUGGAGAAAUGUUUUGACAACUUCUCGAAAAAGAGAAUUCGGGUUGAUUCGAAAGUCUAAGUAUCACCUUUUUUGAAAAACAGUCAACAAUAGCACGAUAGGUAGAUAACCAAUUCAUUCCUAUAAUAACAUCGAAAUCUCGAAUAUUUAACUCUACUAGAUCCACAGGCAUUUCAACAUUUUUAAUCUGAAUCACACAUCUCUUGAACACAUGAUGACCAACUAAGAAAUCGCCAGUGGGAGUAUCAACACACAAUUCACAUUCAAGAGGGUCAGGCAACACAUCAAGCUUCUUUGCAAUUUCAGUUGAAAUGAAGAAGUGCGUAGCACCAGGAUCAAAUAAGGCAUAAGCACAUUGUGAGGCAAUAGAAAUAUUACGUGCAACAAUUGCGUUAGAUGCUGCCGCAUCCUCCUUCGUCAUUGCAAAAACUUUCUCACUUGUACUUUGUCUUUGUUAGUUCUCUUGGGGCCUACCAACGAAAGGGGUAUUCCUCCGCAUGGAACACUGGUGUGCUAGGUGGCCUUGUCGCUCACAUAGAUUACAUGAUCUAUUGCCAAUAGGAGGAUUCCUUUGUGUAGAACAAUCUCGCAGCAUGUGUCCCGCUUUCCUACAUGAGAAGCAUACUUCAAUUUUCCGAUGACACUCACUGCGAUGAUAACUUCCACAUGUAUUACAAGGGCCCUGGUUACUCGGAUUUCUGAACUAUCCUGGCCGGCUGAAACCUCUUCGCCUUCCACUACCAUCAGUAUGGCUACCUUGUACAUUUGUGGGCUUAAACCUUUUGGGUUUAGGCGCUCCUUGUGUGCCAUGCUUCAGAAUGCUUUGUUCCACCUUGAUUGUCCGUUCUAGCACAUCCUUAUAAGUUUUUAAUAUGAAAGGUGCAAGUGCAGAAUUAAUUUUAGGUCGGAGCCCUCCUAGGAAAUGGUCGGCCUUAUCUUCCUCAUUUGCUACCUAGUGCUCUGCAAAUCUACUCAACUGAUUAAAGCGAACUGAAUACUCCAAGACCGUGGAGUCACCCUCAGAUAUAUGUACAAAGUCACCCUUCAUCUUUGCCUGGAAUGACUUUGGGAAGAAUUGAGCAUUGAACGCCUUUUAAAAGUCCUCCCAAGAUAUAAUAACAUCCCUACCUCCAAGACUUGGCUUCAUUCCAUCCCACCAAAACUCUGCUUCACCUUCCAGGUAUUGGGUGGCAAAUUGAACUUUCCGAUCCUCGGGAACCUCUUCAGCUUCAAAGAUCCCAUCAAUCUUUUUAAUCCAACGCUUAGUCGCAAGAGGAUCAGCUUUCCCAUCAAAAGUGGGUGGUUUUGCCUUUCUUAAAUGGGCAAAAGUGCCUGAGCCAGUCGCUCCAUCUCCAGUUAAUUCUUUUGCUUGGUGAUACCAAUGGAUCAUUACUUGUUCAAAUUCAGUUGAACAGGUUGGCUCUUGAUCCUCUUCUUUGACUUCGCGCAAGUUAGGACUCCUAUUAUAGUGGUCCUCAAGUCUCCUUCUCAAAAACUCACCUCGAGAAGCUUGAGGUAUGUCUCUAGCCUCAGGGGUAGUGACUCGUUUGCCUUUGCGGCUCCUACGAAGCGAGGCAAGUGUCUCAAAGUUGGUACUCAUGAUCACCUGAAUCUAAUAAUGAAACUACACCUUAGAAUCUAGAAGACUAACGCAAAAAUAAAAUCUAUCACACAACCUCACAACAUCCCAUAACUACAUCCAAAAAGAUCAAAACUUAGGCUCUGAUACAAAAAAUGUCACACCCCAAAACUACAAAGAAUGAGGAUGACACGGCCAUCAUUCCACACGAAUGACGCGACCUCAAACACAAUCAACAAACUAAUAUCAACUUAUAUAUAUCUCAAAUCAUAUAUACACAUAUAAGAUAAACCAACAAAUUGGUUGCAAUAUCAGAGUUUCUAUAAUCCACUAAAAAAAAUAUACGUUUAAAACUCAGACAAUACAACCACUAGUAAGGAUCAUGUGCACCACUUCUUUAAACCAUAUCAAAGAAAAUAAAAAUAGAACUCCCCAAAAGUUUCCCACCAACGGCCCUCUCGCUCUAUUCGCCGCUAACCGAGGAACUUGAAAAGAUUAAAGGAGGAGUGGGAUGAGCAACAACAGCUUAAUGAGUAGUACAUCUCUUCUAAGUAGAUCGAACAACCAUUAUGCAUGUAUAUAAAGUAAUACCAAACUUCAUAACGCCAACUCAAUAUAUAAAAUACAUAUCGAAUCUUAUAAGAGUUAUUUAUUAUCAUCAAAGCUUAAUAAUAAUACGGAAAACUCAUUUAAAUCGCCAUCAAAAGUCAAGUAUCAAUGGUCGAAUCCAUUGAAUAAUCUCCAUCAAAAACACAUAUCAAUGAUCUAUCCAUUCAUUCAUCUCAUAUCAAACACACAUUGAUGGUCCAUCCAUCGACCAAUCUUUUGCUCAAUAACUAACCAUGGUCACAACACAACGCCUUGUGAUAAGGCGACCGAGAUUUCCCCUUGGCAAGGUCUCCACCUACAAAGUCGAUGACUGGGCCCAGAAGGAUAUCCCAAAUCUAGUAUGCAUACCCCAAAAAGCCCUCACUGGGUUCACAGUCAUAUUGAGCAUAAUAACCAUUCUCCAAUACCAGAAAAUCCAAUCAAGAAAUCAAUAUCUUAAACUAAACAAAUAACAUUUGCAGCAUAGCCCAUCAUCCAUUUCAUAUCAAUUUCUCAAAUCAUCAUAAACCUUUUCAUGAAUCAGUCGCAAAGUAAUUUCAUAUAUAUUUCUCCACUUACUUUGUGUAAUACACUUUUCAAACAUUCACAAUCAACCAAAAAGUAACAAUUGCUCAAUCUGGCUUUUAUGCAAUAAAAAUGCUCUUCUCGAUUCAAUAUAUAUAUUUCAGGACAUGAUUUUUAUAAAAUCAAAGAAGAUAUAGUACGACUCACCUUGUCGUCUACAACCAAACGACGAACGAUACUCGUAUCGUGGAAUUCAAGGCCCUAUCAAAUAACCAAGAAAAAUGUUAAAAUCUAAUAAAACUCUAUCUCAAUUACGAAACAGCUAAAUUACGCCUUAACUCAAACAAAAAGACUUCUAUGCGCUAACAAUUCGCAUAACCAAAACGAUUGUUCAAGCCAUUCGUGACGCGGAGUUUAAACGCAAAACUUAGUUACGCAAUAACUUCCUCCUCUGAACCCCAUUUUGAACGUACUUAUAGUCAAUAGAGAGCCCUUGACAAAUAUUACAAGAAUCCCAACUUGACUGUCCCAAAAUCAAGCUGAAAGAUGACAAAAUACGGGCCAAAAGUUGCUGGACGCGUACUGUUCACUGCGCGCAAGAAACUUUGAAAUUUUGUUUCGGACAAACCAUAUGCUCAAAUCAUGAUCCAUAAAAUCCCACGGCUUCACAACACCAUGAACUACCAUUCCUACAAAAAUACGCAGCUCAACGACUCCAAAAAUGGACUUUGCUGCUCGAUUUUCUAAAAGUUCCGAAUUUGACCCCUAAACCCAUAAACUACUUCAAUUGGACGAACGAGGAGCCUAAUCUCUUACCGGGUGCUGUGUUAUGGGGUCGAGUUGGCUUGGUGAGGCGUUCAAGGCGUGCACGUGCUAAAACUCUUUUCCUUUCUUCCCCUUUCUCUUCUUUCUUUUCUUUCUGGUUGAGGACCCCUCAGCUUCUAUUUAACCGAGCCCUCUCCCCUCUUCUUUUUACUUUAUUGACUUUUCAACUUCUUUUUAUGUUUCUUCUUUUGGGCCCCACUAGCCAAAUAUUACACCUUCCCACCGAGUCAAGUCAAUGUCGCCCCUACCAUCUUCUACGUCUGGACGUGAGGAAGUUAUUGUUGCCCGAGUGACGCAUGUAAUGACGCCUUGAGGCCCUCCAUCUUUUCCUUAUCACAACUUGUCCCGUUCUUGCACCGAUUCCUCACUCCUAGUGCGUCCCACGUUCACCAGAUUUCUGAGGAAGAAAGGAAAAUGUCGAGCUCUCAGUGUUUUGAGAACCCACCAAACCUGAGCUCCACUUGCGGAGCAGGACACGUUGAAGAGCUUGCAGGUCUCAAGACUUACGUCACCGGCCCUUCCGAUUCCAAGCGUGCUGUUCUUCUCAUCGCCGAUGUUUUCGGUACUGGCCCAUUUCUUUAAUUUUGAUUUUGUGGUGUUUCUCUCAGUUGGGUCUUUUCUUUUGGUCAAUUAUGUAUAUCUCCUUGGUUCUUUGUCGUUCUUGUGCUUUUCGAUUGGUCCAUGAUAUUGCUGCUUGAUUGAUCUUUGCUCAUCUGUUUGUGCAGGGUAUGAGGCUCCUAAGCUGAGGUAUGGAAUCUUUCUCAAGUUGUUCUAUGUAUAUGUUGUUCUCUAGUGCCAUCUUUUGACGUUUCAUGGUGAAUAAACUCUGUAUUCUCCGGAUAGCAUACAUUUGAAAGCUUUGCUUUUCCGUUCACCUUUCACCUGUGAUGACGAAGAGCAUUAGAUGGCACUUGAGGGCGAAGCCAGUUCAUUCUGGAUGAGUGUGUUUGGCGUUCUUCUGUUCCAAGUUAAAACAUCAUUUGUUGAAUUGUAUAUACACGCGGGACCUCAUGGCAUAGUCCAGCUGACAUUUUAUAUACAUCGCUUGAUUCAAUACGAAUCUCAGUUUUCUUUGUUCUAAUGAUUUCUGCUACUAGUAUGGCUCAGCUGGUCAUGUAAUUCGGUUUCAUCUUGAGAUAGAGUUAUCCUUAGUUGCAACACCAAAAUCACAUAAGCUGGGGUUGCCUUCUUGACAGUCCCGGCAUAAUUCUAUGUUUUAACAAGAUUGAGAAUGAUAAGAGUUACCUUUUCAAAUGGUCAUACUUAUUUGCGGAAUGCUUUCCUUGUGUAGGAAACUCGCAGAUAAAAUUGCAUCCGCGGGAUUCUUGGUGGUCGUACCUGAUUUCUUUUACGGAGAUCCCAUUAUUGAUUUCACUAGUCCUAAUUUCAAUUUUGAAGCUUGGUUUAAGAAUCACGGCACGGUGAGUUUUUCACUCCUUCAGGCUGUGAAAGUGUGACAGUACAUUUAGAAGUUCAGAGGAAACAAGGGGCUUUCUACUGUGCAAACUUGAUUUGUAGACUCGAAUCACACGCAGUAAGUUGCAUUGGUAUUUAGACCUGGUUGGAGAUUGCUGGUCAUUUCAAAGAUUUUCGACGCCCAGCAAGAUCUUUAUUAUAUAAAAUUCCAAAUGCAAAACAUGAAACAGCAUAAGUAGAAUAAAAGCCUCAUGAAUUUUGAUGUUACCGACUUUUAGACAAUCUUUUUAUAAACGUUUACUUCAUUUGCUUCUUUAGGAUAAAGGGCAUGAAGAUGCCAAGCCAGUGAUUGCUGCUCUUAAGAGCAAAGGUGUGUCUGCCAUUGGGGCUGCAGGAUUUUGUUGGGGAGGUAAAAUUUUCUGAAUUCACUUUCCUAGUUCUGAGGGGGUUGUUGGGUUAAGAAAUGGGAAAUUUGUUCUUAUUGGAAAUUGUAAUCCAUUUUCUCUAAAAAUAUCUAGAAACUACUAACUUAAUCAUGAAGGUGAGAACCUUCUAGAAUUGUUGAGAAUGAAGAUUGCUAGUUGAAUCUAGAAGAUUCACAUGGGAAUGCAAGCAAGCAAAAGCCAAGCAUCAAAGAAAAUCCUAGAACAAGCAAGAGAAGUCUAGAGAAGUCCAUGCUUCAAGAGAAGUCUAGAAUUCUAGAAUGCUUCAAGAGAAAUCUAGAAUUCUCUAUCUUAGGUUAGUAGCUAUUUGUAGAGAAGUCUAGAGACUUCCUCCACCUACUUUGGCAGCCUAUAUAAAGGAGCAAGUGCUCCAUGUUUUGGUGAAAGGGAGCUAACCAUAAAAACCACAUCAUGCUCCCUCACCAACACUUCCUUCAACUAUUGUAAAAUUAUUUUAUCUAACUAAUCAAACUAUUUUUGUCCCAUAAACCUUCUCAAAAUAUCCUAUAUCCCAUGUUCUUUAUCCUUUAAUUAUCCUAGUUUAUCUUUUGUCCGUCCUCUACAAACUAUAUCAUACACUUGCACACAACAUCACUAAUAAAAAACUAUCAUCAAUACCAAAACCAUACUUCUGCGCAUAUUUAUAUUUUUAACAGUUCUACAUUGACCGUUGAGAAACUAGUUUUGUUGACUUGCAGAAAAGUUCUUUCAAGUUGUUAAAAAGAGCUUGCCUAUUCUUUUCAGGAGUGGUGCUUGUGAAAUUAGCGGGCACUGAAGACAUUCAAGCAGCAGUUAUUCUGCACCCCGGUCCUAUGACCGAAGAUGCAAUCAAAGGUAAAGCUAUGCCAAUAAACAUGGACUUGCUAUUUUCUUUUCAGCCGCAGCGAUAUAAUUUCUUCAUGAGGGUAUAAGACUUGGUACUUGGCACGGGAGCCUUUAUCGCCUAUUAUGAAAUGCUCAUGAACAAUUAAAUUAUAUGAAUUCUGAUGGGAGUCUGUAAUGCAGCCAAGAGUGACGAAGAAACUCGCUAUAACAUGUCCGGUCAAUUACAAAAAAUCGAUGGCACGACUUUUGUCUACUUGAGAAGUGUUCCUUAAACUGGAAGCCUUAAAAGACCUUAUUUUCUUCUGUUCUUUGUUCAGCUGUCAAGAUUCCAACU